rnacentral:lncRNA from 1 species
UGUUUGCAUCUUCUUGCUUGGAUAUGUAUUUUAGUGGUGUGAGUGAUACAAGAUCUUUUUUCCUAUGCACUUAUUAUGCAGAACUCUGAUCUAGGCUGCCUCCAAAUAGCUUAGGGUUGUGAAAUUGGAUAGGGCAAUUGUGCUCUGUUGGGGAGAUUCGAGGGGUACACUUGUGGAUCAGGAGCCACCACAUAAGGAAGCCUGACACCACACUCUAACCCAAAACCUUAAGACUCAGGUUUAUGGAUCUUCUCCUCACUUAUAUGGUGUUCAACUUUUUCACUUCUACCCGAUGUGGGACUACACCUCACACUUGUAACCCAACACAUCUUCUCCUCAAGUGUGAGUCUCUUCCACAUGGUAGUCUCCCCCUCGAGCGAAAGUCCACGAGUAUAGCCAUGGCCACCUGCGGUACUUGCCCUGCCCGCUAGCCAUUCUGGCCACCCCACUUCACCUGCGGGACACGUUGUGCCGCUAGUCAUUCUGGCCACCUGUGGUACUUGCAUACUCGUCUGAGCCGGUCACCAACUUGAACCAUCGGCUUUGAUACCACUUGUUGGGAAUUAUCAAUAAACCAUAUACAAUACCAAAUGAGCACCAAAACACAUUACGUCAGAUUAUCAAGAGGUUUUAAGGAAUACCUGAAUCCAUAGAUGUUGAUUAACAGCAGCGAAAUUUGACAAUGGUCACAAACAAUUGGUUUAAUGACCUUCCUCAACCAAAUCACCUUUUUCCUUAUGGAACCUUCGUUUUUUUCUUCAGAUGGGGAGAGGAGAAACUAUUUGUUGAUUUGGUAUAUUACGGACCAAAACCAUGCCUUAUGUUUUAAACCUAUUAGGGUUUCUAUUAUCCCCUAAUCGACUAAACUGGUUUCCGCUCAUUAAGCCCAUAUCAAUUAUCGGUUGGUAAUUUAAUGAGCUCACUUAAAUAGAUCACUUUAUAUUGAACUCAUUUAAAUGUAAAUAACUAAUAUAAAUGUUAUAAUAUAAUAUGUAGCCCAUAUUAAUUAAUUAGGAAUUAUAAAAUUCCUAACACACACAUCUUGAUGGAUAAAAUUUUCUCGGAAAUAACUCAUUAUAUUCCAAAGCCUGAUAUAUAUCAUAUAUAGCACUUGAUUUUGGAGUAUAUAAUAAAUGGAUUUCCUGGAUAUUCGAGAGACCAAGACUCUCUCCACUCUUUUUCCCUUUGUUUGAAUGAGAGGGAAAAAUGACAGGAGAAGUUUUUUAUAUUUGAAAUUAAAGAGAAAACUUGGAGAGAAUAUUUUGAAAUUUUGUUUCUUAAGAACAACCUUUCUUUAUUUUCUUUUCAACUUAACAAGAAUUUUUUUAAAAUUAAUAAUAAUAAAAAAACUCCCCUGAUCCUUCCUUGAAUGACAAGAUACCUCUCACUCUCACCUCGAACAUGCCUUCUCUGAUUAUUCUAGCUCCCAACUAACUAACUCCCUAGCUAAACUAUUUACUCCACCAACUAACCAUGGGUACAUGGACAGUGAUGGAUCCAAGACUCUAAGUUAGCGGGAGUAAUUUUUUUAAGAAAAUAGAAAUUGAUAAUAAUUAUUAUCACACAUACGAAGAUAAGGAAAUAGAAUUGUAAUUGUUAAAAUCAUAUAAUUUUAAUAUAUUAUACAUACGGUGAAAAUACAAAAUUUAACUUUCAAAUCAAAAUACUUGAAUAAAAAAUAACAAUAAAAUACAAAGAAGAAAGAAAACUUGGGUCAAUGGGUUCAAAUAUAUAGAAAUACAGGAAUAAAAUACAAAACUCAAAAAUAUUUACUUAAAAUUUUAUUCAAGUAGGGAAUAUAUUUGCACACCCUAAUUUAUAAUUUUAUAUGUAGUUCUGCCACUGACCAUGGGGAUCACCUGUCAGCAUUAGUCAAGACUUGUUGUGAAAGUAGCUUACUCCUCAAGUUUAUAACCAGCCACUAAGUCACUAACACAAAUAUACUAGCCCACUAGCAUAACUCACAAACUGAGCCUAUAAAAAGCUAAAGACCCAAACAUAAAACUACUAAAAUGACACUAUAAAAAUAGAAAAUUCUUCAGUUUAGGCGAGUUCUACUGUAGUCAGUACCAUGUGAAACUAUGAUAAUUAUAGUUUGGUUCCCUCCUCUCUAAUUUCCUGGGCAUCAUUUUUGCAUCAGUUAGAAGGAAUUGUCAAUCAUUAUCUUUAUCUAUUUAUUGCAUUGGUAAAAAAAUUCAAUGUUGACAGGCUGGCAGGUGCAGUGCUCAUAGCCCCAGUUCUCAAUUACUGGUGGGCUGGUCUUCCUGCAAACUUAACUAAUGAAGUUUUCUACCAACAAAAACUACAAGACCAGUGGACAGUUCGUGUGGCUCACUACAUACCAUGGCUAACUUACUGGUGGAACACUCAAAAAUGGUUCCCAUCUUCUAGUUUAAUUGCUGACAGUAUAGAUCUUCUUUCCCUUCAAGACAGAGAACUUUUGCCUAAGAGGUCUGAUCGAAAGAAUCAUGUGGUAUGUAUCUGGAUUAUAGAGUGAAAGUCAUGUAACUUCAUAAUUUAUAUUUGUUGUUGGCUAGAUUCAUACCAAUUGAUUUUGAUAUUUGUUGGUGACUGUUGUGCCUAAAGUCAGAACUGUUUAAUACUGUAGUAAAUGUGUCUAACUAACUGUUUAAUACUGCAUGUGAAGGACUGCAUCUGUUGAAGUCAGUUGUGAACAAUUAUAUCUACUUGUCACGUUUGAGUUUAUAGUUCUUUGUAAUCUUUUUCUCUAUAGAACUGCUCAAACCAAUACCAGUCAUAAAUUUGGAAUUGAUAACUAUUACAGUUUGUAUGUACUCUCUAGUUACCAUUGGCUAUUAAUAAAAGUUUUAAAAGACAUCUUGUACACAAAAUAUAUUGAUUACAUCCAAACCUUAUUCUACUUGGUGGGAUCAGCUACAUGGAUUAAUGCUUACCAUUGGGUUCAACAAAAGCAAAAAUUUCACUCUAACCAUGAUUAUCAUUUAGAGCAACUGAGCAGGGUCUUAGAGUCUUGUAUCAUACACACUACUCAAAUUUAGUAUUUACUCAUUUUGUACCAUCAACUAAGACUAUAUCAUUUGCAAUACUAGACUCGAGUAUUUAAAUUAUGAACAUUCAUGCAUUUUAUUAGUAUCAAUUUAGGAGUAGAUGCAAGUAUGCAAAACUUGUAGGAAGUAGGAACAUAUUAGACUUAUUGACAAAACUAUGGUUUUUGAUGAUUUACUCUUGUAUGAUAAUUGCCAAUAGUUUAAUGCAUUUUGUAAUCACUAAAAUGUGAUGUGAUAGAUACCAUACCAGAAACACAUAGCAUCAGUCCAGUAGGAUCAUGGAAUAUGUAUGGAGUGUCACUUUGUGUAUGAAAUCUGUUUACAAGAUUUGUCAUUUAGAAGCAGAAAUCGAUUGCAAAGCAAACAAAUUUUGUAGUAAAUGUUUGUUUUAUCAGAGAUGCAAAACAUUUGUUUAGGCUAUAGGCCUUUGGUGCAUUAGUGCAUUACUCUUUUUAGAGAACUGCUACUACGACUUGUGUGCUACGCAUAGGUGUUAAAACUAUCUUCACUGUUGUCUUGUAUGUUAGUUAUCAACCUUAUUUUUUCUUCCCUUGGAUAGACUGCUGCUUGAUGUCAUGAUUUUAUGAAUUCUUUAUAUGAAGAGUUGUUUCCCAACUUAUGAUGGAUCACUAAGUAAUAAAUUGAUAAUUCUUUUUUUGGUACAUAGUAAUAAAUUGAUAUAUAGAACUUCUUUUAACAUUAGGGGCGUAAAAUAAUUUUUUAUAAACACUAAUGAUAAUUAUUGUUGAUACCAUGCACAUUGUUUUUUACUGGAUCAUGUUUAAUUUGGUUGGUUUCUCCUAUUGGUUAUUGAAAUGUGGCUGAUAUAUUGUCUUAUUGUUCCACAGGCUCAGGUAAGACAGCAAGGUGAACAUGAAACUGUUCACCGAGACUUAAUUCUCGCAUUUGGUAGCUGGGAAUUUAGUCCAUUGGAUCUGGAAAAUCCAUUUCCAAAUAAUGAAGGUUCGGUCCAUAUUUGGCAAGGAGAUGAAGAUUUGAUAGUGCCUGUUAAAGUGCAACGAUACAUUGCACAAAAGCUUCCGUGGAUUCAGUAUCAUGAGCUUCAAGGUGCAGGCCAUUUGUUCCCUCAUGUUGAUGGUAUGAGUGAUACUAUCAUUAAGUCACUUUUAAGUGGGAAAUAAUUAACUUUCAAUCUAGGACAUUGAUUGUUAUUGUUAGUCCAUGCAGAUUGAAUUAAAAUCUUGAUUUGCGGGAAGAAGAAUCACGUUGCGCAGUAGUGCUCUUUGUUUGGAUAUAAAUUUAUAAAUAUUUCAAUUCUAAGUGAAUAAAAUUCUUCUUAAGAAAAGUGAACUUUAUCAAAAGAAUUGAUUGUGGGAAUGAAACCUGUAUCAAAUAUCCAUAUACCUAUCGUAUAUUUUUAUAAUAUCGUAUCUGUAUUAUUUUUAAUAUUAAAAUGAAAAAAAAAAACGUUUUAACAUUAAAAUAAAACGAAAACAUAGUGAGUCUAGCAUAAAAUAUAAAACAUAAUUAUGUGUAAGAAUCAUCUCUUACGUGAAAAUAAUGUAAUGAAUGGUGCGUAAAUAAUAUUGUUAAGAUUUAAAAACAGAAGAAUGAAUACGUGUGAGCUCAAGAGAUAUGCUGCACUAAAACAAGGCUACACAUGAGACACCUGUCCUAUACGUGGCGAGAUUUGUGACCAAAUCGGGAAAAUUUUCUGUCUAUUGCGGCAUUUGACAAUUUUACUUUAGUUAAUCCCUUGAUUUGUGGGGUAACCUUAGCCGGCAUGAAUCAUAUAGACGAAGAUGGUCCUUAGUUGCAGGGCAGUGUGCCUUAUAUUUACCUCUUUAUUAGAUUGGGUUUGUUCUAAACAAAUUUGAACUCACUCAAAUUCAACGGGAACAUCGAUCUCAUCUUCAACUCAGUGUCAUACAAGAAUAAUAAGCUCUAAAACUUUUGUCACUGCUACAAAAGGAACUUGAUUUACCAGCUCGCAUUCGAAUUUCAAUUUCCAGGAAGAAGAAGAUGGUGAUUGAGGAGGGUGACAUGAAGUCGCAAGGCGAGGUGGAAUCACGGGUCCAACAAGAAGCGAAUUACAAGAACCACAACUACCAUUCUCCAUUAUUCUCAUCACAUGAAGUUGUUGGGGAGGCUUCUGGUGGCUAUGUUGGAAAUGGGAAGAGGGAUCAUAAUGGUGGUGGGUAUCAUUGUUUUGGAGGAGGUGGUGGGUAAGGGUGGGGCCCACAAUGGAGAUGGGUGGGCCUGAGUCCGACCAAUUCGUCUGAUGGGAUAGGGAAUAAUGGAAGGCAGUUUGGGCUUGAGAGGGAGAAAGAGGGUGGUGGAUUGUCAUGUGGAAAAGGUGGUGGAGAGAAGGCAGAGGAGGUUGAUCAAGAAUAGAGUCAGCUGCCAGAUCUAGAGCCAGAAAACAGGUGCAUUUGCAUGCAUGCCUCAUUUUUAUCAUCAAUCCAUGCAAUGGCUAUACAUAUCCUGUUGAUAUAUAUUAUGAAAUAUUAAUGCUGGCUUCUUGACUAGAAAUGUUGUAUAAAGCCACUGAACUCAAUCUCAGUGAACUAAGGAUAAUUGAUAUAUAUAGUAUGUGUGUAAAAAUCAAUAUUUGUCAACACUGUGGAUAUCAUUUGAAAAUGGGCAAUUCAAAUAGAAUCGAACUUUGGAUGAAUCUGGAUCCCAUUAAAUUUCAUUUCCAAGAGGAACCUCAACAUUACUUUAUGAAGAAUUAAUAAAUGUAUCAAUUUAUUAACUUAUUGCACCCAAAUUUGGAUACUGUAAGUUUAUAUAAGAAUCUGUCCUUGGACCUUUCCGCUUUGGAGUGUACAUAUUUGCUAUUGAUGCAUUAGGAUCGAUAAUUUUCAUUAAUAUAGUAUUUUUUUUCCCCUUGAAAUUAUGUAACUAGGAUUGGCUUUUCCAGAAAUUAUAAGGGGUUGACAGGUUUCAGAGCACCAGGCUAUCAGCUACUAAUAUAAUGCCAAUUAAUGAACUUUUUAAUUAGCUUAGAUUUAAAGAUGUGAAUAAAAUAUACAUCAAAAUGGACCGCGUAGCUGCUAUAGCUUAUGAGGCUCAUUGUGCUUUGCACUUCUUGCAUUGCAUAGGCUUGGUGUGGUAUUGUAUACUGUAUGGAUAUAUAAUAUUUUGGUAGAUAUUUGAGGAAGGAUUGUUAUUUAGCUUUCUUUGCGGAACCUUAUUCGUUCCUUUUUUUUUUAUUUUGGCCUUGGCAGGCAUACACAGUGGAAUUACAAGCAGAACUGAACCAAUUGAGAGAAGAGAACGCCCAACUGAAACAGGGCUGGUACUGCCAAAUAACAUGAACUUCUGCAGAGUGAUGAAAGUUUUCCUCUGUUGUUGUUAUGUAUUGAAGUAUUAGUAAUUCAAUUAUACUGACAAGGAUCUUGCUUUUAUUCUUCAUGCCGAGCCCGAGAGGAAAAGAAAGCAACAGGUAACCACACUAACCAAUAAUGAUCCAAUUAAAUUCUUGUUUGAAGUUCAUAUCAAGGGUACACAAGAUAUUGGUGUAACAUUGUCCUUUCACGUUGGUGGGCACUAUUGCCAGAUAUUCAGCAUAGAAGCAAUUAAUUACCAGAAUCAAUCUAAUUAUUAUGAAGCAAUCCGUGAUUUUUUUUAUCGCCGGCCUUUUGUCCUUUCAUCCAUUGUAAAGGUUGAAAACCUGAAACUGGAAACAAUGUACCCACAUAAAAGUAACCACAUCUUAGGUUCUCCUUCCACAAAAAAGAAAAAAGCAACAAAUAAUAGAAAGAAAGGGGUUGUGAUGGAAACUGAAAUUCACUCUUAUACCCAAAGAAUCUAUAACUUUACAUUUGAAGAAUUCUUGUGAUUCACGGCAGAAGAAAUGGACAAAAGAAACUCAUGGGGCAUGCAAGUAUCUUCUUUCACUUUGACAGAGAUUAGAUGAGUACGACAGAACCCACUACUCAUAUUCAAACUCAAACUUUACAUGCCCAUAUUUUCUUCCAAGUUGAAGAAUGAAUUCAGAGAAUCUGGCAAGAAUUUGGCACUCUUCGUGUGUUUUGACCUCUGAAACAAAACCAUAAAUGAUCAAUUUUUUCAAAUUGGGACAACCUUCCAGAAGUGCAGCUACCCAUACUGAGAAAAGAUCACUAAUUACAGUCCAUCCAAGUUCUAACACCACCACAUUCAUCAAACAAGACAAACCCUGCAAGCCAUAAUGAAGAACUCCAUCUCUUAAAUCAUAGCUUAAGGACAAAUGUGUCAACUGAGGAAAGCAAACAGAAAUUGUCUCUAUAUCAACAACCUCAUCCUCAUCAUCAAAAACGACACCCCACAUCCAAAGCUUAUAUAACUUUGAUGCUUUUGAGAUCAUAUGAGAAAAUUUUGGCCACAUGAUUGUGAAGUUACUGACAUCUAUGAUCUCAAGGUUCUCUGUACUAUCCCCAAUAUCAAGAUGGAUAACACUCACAUCAUCAAUUUUCAACACCUUCAAUGUCCCCUUUUCAAUCAGCUCAAAAACCUCAAAGCUACAAUAUUUCAAAUGAAGCUUCUCAAGCAAAUCCGCCUCCAAUAUAAACUUAUCCGAACUAAACAAUUCAAGGUCCAAAACCUUCAAAGAAACGUUGCUGAGCUCUUAUAUAAGCACGUUAAAGAUAAAACACAAAACAAAUAUAUUUUACAUAAUUAAAACGAAAAAAGAUAUUUACAGUAAUAAAAAUAAAUAAUAAAUGCUAAAUUACAAUUAUCAAAAUUAUAUUUAAGUCAUUUAAAAUUAAUUAUGAACAUCGUGCAUGUACUUAUCUUGAUUGAAAUUAAUUAUCAAUGCAUAGUUGUUUUACAAGCUCUUCCACUUUAGAAAAAUCAAAUGAUUAAGAAUCUAUAUCUUAUCUUAUUUUCAAAUAUUAACUAGUGCCCUUAACUAAUUUCUUUACGCACUAGUAAAAGAAUUAAAGUAUAAAUAUUUUUAUUAGUAGGUAAAAAAUUACGUUGUUCAUGACCGUUUUUGUGUUCCCUUAUAAUUUUCAUACUAAAAGAACAUUUGGUAGAUAAUUUUUUUUUCAGAAAUUAUAGAUGGAAAACUUAGUUUUCCAAUGUUUGGUAUGAGGUUUUAAAAAUAACAUUCCGAAAAAAGAAAGUUUUUUGGGAAUAUUUUUUAAUCAAGAAAACUUUUAUAUGAGGAGAAAUAAGAAUUUUAUUUUCCAAGUAAUUUUAUUUUUAUUACAGUAAAAAUAUCGUAUUACUUUUUAUUAAAUCAUUUAAUAUGAUAAAAAUAUUACAUAACUCUUAUUUUUAGAAAACUUAAGAUUUUAAUGGCCAACCAAAUAAAUUUUAUUCAAAAUUCUUCCACAUAAUUUUUUUUUCCUAUCCAACAUCUCCUAAAUAUUUUUUUUCUUUUAAUUUGUUAAUCAAGAAACCUAUCAAUUAGUGAGUAGGCAUGGCAACGGGCGGGUCGGGGUCGGGUUUUGUUUACCCCACCCCCGCCCCCGACUCUCCAUUUCCCUCCCCACCCCCACCCCCGAAACCGACGGGGGUGUAUAUUUACACCCCAUCCUCGUCCCCGAUCGGGGUCGGGUUUUUCCCGCCCUGCCCCCGACAUUUUUAUAAAAUUUUAUUAAAAAAUAUAAUUUUUUAUAAAAUAACAAAUAUAAUUUUAAAUAAAAUAUAAAAUUCAAUUCAACACUAACAUAAAAUUUAAUCUAAUAAUUUCAUAUUUCAAUGUGUUAUAUAUAUUAAUAAUUAACGGGGCGGGUUCGGGUACGGGUUCGAGACGGAUAUUGAGAAUCUCAUUCCUGAUCCCGAACCCGAAUUUGGUUAUCGGGGAAAAUUCGACCCUGACCCCGACCCUGGUCAACUCGAAUUUUUCCCAUCAAAAUCGGGACGGGUCCAGGACAGGCCCCACGGGUUCGGACCCGUUGCCAUGCCUAUUAGUGAGACCCUAUUUUCUUUCUUUUAUUUUCAUGACGACACCUACAGAUCACAUGGACGACUUACCAAGAUUACCAAACUCUUGUCUUAGUGAAAAAUCACUGUUAAUUUAAUUUGCAAAAUAAUGAUGAAUUUGUAUCCGAAAAUUUUCUUUUCCUAUAAAUUCAUUGUUAUAUUAUAAAAUGAUUAAAUCUGCGAUUUUGAAUAAGAAAAUUUAAAGAGCUGUAUAUGACUUUCUUAUUUUAAGUAUUUCAUUUUAGUUUUCGUUUUUAUAUAUGUAUUUUAAAAUAUUAAUAACUAAAGUUAAUUAAUCUCAAUUUAAAUUUCAAAUGAAUUUUAAAAUCUUAAUAUCCACAUUAUAUUAUAGCAAAUAGAAAAUUACAAUUUAUUUUCAUAAAUCAUAUUAAAUUAAUAAAUAUAGAAAUGCAGGACAUAUUUAGCCAUUAGUAUUUUUCAUUACAUAAAGCAUCUUGUGCCAUUAUUGACAGGUCAUGAUUCCUUUAAAUGCGAAACACAAGAACUUCAUGAAGCUGUUCUGGCUACCGUCCUUCUAGCGUUAGACGUGCGCACAUAUUUCCUCCGAGCAAUGCUAAGACUAAAUUUUCUUUAAAAAAAAAAAAAAAACAACAAUGCUAGAGACUAUGUCACUCAACCAGAAAUGAUCAUUGGUAAUAAUUUAGUGAAAGCGUAAUCUUCAAAUUGACCAAAGAAUUUUAAGAGAAGUUUCUUUAGCUCUGAAUGAUAUGUUAAACUUAACGAAAAUUAUUUCAAUGAUAUUGUUAACCUACAAACUACAAUUCUCAUGAUACAAAUAAUUUUAUAUUAGAAAUAAGAAUCAUCAAAACAAAUGAUAAUACAAAUUGUUGAAAUAAGCCUUAUUACCAUCAGCUUCAGAGAACUCUGUAUAUUGAGACCAUGUCAGUCCUCAGUAUCCUUUUGUUCUGAGCACCAAAGCUCUCAUUUCCCUUGUUCUCGCAGGCAGAAUAAUAGAAAUCCAUUAGUUGUACUUGUAUGUCUAUCUAUCAAUUAAAUCGUGAAAGGACGACUUCAUUACGUGAGGAUCCACAGCAAGUUGAAUAGCAAUUUUAACUAUUUCAUGGCUUAGAAGAUCCACUACUGCCUGUUGUCAUGAAAGAUUCACCACAACCACACUGACCUUUAGAAUUUGGAUUGACGAAAAUAAAUUCCGAUCUGACAGGAGAAGCAAAAAGAGUAGAAGUUAAAAUAAGAGCACUGAAAACAAAGAAGUAGUUCACAUUAGGAAAAGAACGAAAGUAAACGGUUGAACCAACUAACCAACAGAAACCAGCACAACAAAUAACUGUAAAGUAAUUUUCAUGCCAUUUCAUCAAUAUCUCCUUUAAGUGAUGCAGACAUUUUGUCUACAUACAUUUGAGAAAGGAAAAUCACUAAUCAUCCCCGGAGCUAGGCAUAACAUGUAACACAAAUUCACUUCACAUUCCAUCGAAAGCUUCCUUUAAUAAUGCAUAUACUCAUACUGGAAAGAUAUUCGGGAUUUGGAAAAGAAAAUAAUCGAGUACUCCAAAAGCACAAAUUAAUGCAGAGUCAGGGCAAAGGAGGGAGUAAAAUAGUUUUUGUCACAAGUAGAUCAAUGCCCAAAUAUACAGUUCCUAAAUUGAAGCUAAAAAGAUGGUAACAUUCUGAUGAAGAGAAUUUUAUCAAAGUAAUAUGUUCUAAAGCUUCAUAUAUUUAUAGGCAUUUGUGUUUCAAUUCUAUGUAUAUUCAGUAUUUAUAAAUUAUAAUGUCUAGAUUCAAUUCUUUACCAAAAAAAGUUCAUAGAAAGGAUUACAAGCAGAGGUAUCCCUCUGUGAGAAUGGAACCACAAAGAAAAUGCAUGAAAAUAAAGAAAAUAAAGAGGGAAUAUCCCACCCCUUUCAAACCUCACUGCCAUACUUAAUUUUUUGCCUAUCAACCUCACUUCCUUUCCCGUUCUUAUCUCCACCCCCUUUCUCCCCAUACAGGUACAGUGCCACAAUUCUGAUAGAAUUAGAAUCAAUACACAAGAAGAUAAGAAAAGAAACCUUCAUAAAAAUUUUCAGUUCUAACACUCUCCAAUGUGAAGAAGUGAUGCUAGAAUUACAACGACUAAUUAGGCUAUGUUUAGUAAAACUAACUGAAAAGUUAACUGGAAGCUAAAAGUUAGAAGUUAGAAGCUGAAAAAUUAGUUUAUUAAAUUAUAAGUGUUUGUUAAAACUAGCUAUUAAAAUAGCUAAAAAGUGUAAAAUGACUGAAAACAAUAAAAUCAUGAUUUAUCUAAAAAGGGUAAGCAGAAAAUUUGAUAAAUAUUUUAAGGAUAAGAAAGGAAGAAAAUACAAAAAGCUACAGGCUAAAAACUAACGUUUUUUGCUGCCGAGAAGCUACUAAAAAAAAGUUUGUUUAUCAAUUAUUUGCUCUUCCCUCCUCAGUCCAAACUAAAUAACUAAUGCUGUUUUGGGUAAUUAGUUAGGAAUACAAUUCAUUAGAUCUAAUUUAAUCCCCAAGGGGUUGAUUCCCUACAACUUCGAUCUUUCGUCUCUCAUACACCUUCAUAAUGGUUGGCCAGGUCCUAUUAGAUUCCCUUCUCCACUAAACAUGUGACGGCUAUCCAUGUUGUUUCAGGUUCAGCCAUUCCACUCCAUUGCAACAAACUCUUCCUUUUGCACUUUCCCCUAAUGAGGAAUAAGCACUUCCAAUCUCCUCAUUCUUAUUUGUUAUAUUUAAUCUCAGGCCAGCAUGAUUGUGUAAAGAAAAGAAGCAAUAGCAAAUUAGAAAGCAUUAUAUUCUGUUAUAGCACACACACACUACUAGUUUUAAAUUUUAAUAUUCUGUUUCUAGAAUAAUUACGUGGUUCUCGUAAAGAAUAACAAAAUAUAGUUAAUUACCUAAGCAUCAGUGUCACAUCAUCUUAUUACUAAGACGAAUAUAUUGUAUAAACUAAAUUCCCACAAAAAUGAUUCUAUAUGUUUUUGGAGGUAUGAUUAUUUUGAUUAUUGAAACAUUAUUACGCAAACCACAAGUAUCAGAACUAAAAAAUAAGAUUUCAAAUUUACCUACUUGGACACAGUUUAUAGUUCCAUGUUCUUCUAAAAUAGAUAAUUAGAACACAAUACAUCUGAAAGUAUUCAAUUAGAAGAAACCAAAUAACAAGCUCAAACUUUUGGUCUAGUUCCGUUCAUGUGCUAUUAAGUUGUCAUAAUGAGUCCAAUUUUAACAGCCAGAAUAGACACAAAUCCUUAAUAUCAACUUUGAAUGACACUUAUUAAAAUAUUCUUGGUAUUACAGCCAGAAUAUUGGCACAACAGAUUCAGUUCACAAAGUAACAUGCAUGGAUUUUUAGAUAUUUAAUAAAGCCAAGCAUAAGCAUAUUUAUUGGGUGGGUGAGGAAAUACCAGUGUGGAAGGGUGAGAGAGGUAGCAAAACAUACAGUAUCAUAUUGAUACCAGUGGCAGUAUUAAGAGGAAAGACAAAUUCACUAAUGAUUAUAAUAAUUGUGUUUAGUAUUCUAAGUUAACCUCAAAAUCUGAUGUCUUUUAAAAAAUAUAAAUAUUUUCCAAUUUGAGACUACUCAAAUGGAAACUGUAUAAUUCCUGAGAGGAUGAAUCUCUCCAUCCAAAAAGCAACCAACAGGAUAGGAGUAAGUUAUAAAGAUUUAUGAGGGAAGACAACUAAUUUUGGUGUAGAUGUAACAGAUUUAAACAAUAAUCUUAAGAUAUCUGCGUCCCAAGUCCAAACCAAUAUAGAGAGAUUUAUCAUCCCAUUCCCAAAACACAAUACAAUAAACAAAAAUAGAAAAAGAAAAAUAUAAGUUGAACAUGAAGAAAAGGUGUUAAAGAAAACAUUUACCUUAGUUUGUCAUCUACAAAAUCCAUUUUAGUUCCAAUGACAUGCAUAAGGGCCUUUGGAUCAAUCAAUAUCUUAACACCCUUAUCCUCAACCAACUCAUCAAACUUCCCUUUUUCAUCUGUCAAAGCAACAGUAAUCUAAGAUGAAAAAGUCAUAACUCAUAAUGAAAUCAUGCAUCCAUCUCCAGCUCACCGCAAUUGAAAGGAAUAAUCAGUACACAAAGAUAGUAAAUUCCCAACAGGAUUAAACUUUAAUCAAUAUUACUCAUAUUUGGGACAUGAAAUUUUUAUAAGAGAAUAGGUUAGCACCAAAGGACAAUUUUGAAGUGUUCCUAUUUACCUCAGUAUUUGACAUACCUCAAUGCAUGCUUUUGACUAAUGAUAUUGCCAUAGCUACCUUAAGAGUAAGACAAUGGAAUGCGAGUUUCACAAGACACAAGUUAACAACAAUGUUUUGGAAAUUGGAAGUAAAAUAAAACAAGAGUAGAAAAUGUUUUAAUAGAGCUCCAUGGGGCAGAAUAAUAUAGGUGGCAGACUUCACAUAGAGGAUUAAAGGUUUUCCCGUAGACUGUAGUCAUCACUUUCAUUAAUAGCAAGGUAUGACUCAUUUCAUCAUCUCAAAUGUGACUCCAAAUUUUACUUCCUCAUUUCAAUCAUCCAUAGUUCUUAUUUCAGCCAAAAAGAAAAAUGAAUCGAGUAUUUUCAUUUUUCAGGCUAUUGUAUGUAUAUAAAACCAAAGACAUAAACAUCCAAUGAAAUAUGAAAAACAAACUCCAAAUCAACUGUUCAUCUAGUUUCAGAUUGCGAUAACAAUCGAUCUCAGACAUUCGUCAUAGGAGCAUGUCAUAAAAAUCGAGAAAAAUCGGUCAAUCACAAGCAGCGAUGCAGGAUUCCCCGAAAAUUAAAAGAUCAUGUACAUGGAACAAUGAAUACUCCUUUUGCAAAUUCAUUAACCGAAUGGAUUCAGCCCUAUAAAUAAGAAGAGUAAUCCAACGAGUCGAAGCUAAAUCAUUUAGGAUCAACCUGUUCUCCUAUGAUUAUAACGCAGGGAUUCCAAAAACGAAUACAGUAUUUCAUAAUCAGUUCAGCUAUGUUAUUUGAGAGGAUCUGUUCCAAGAUACGUUAUUAUGAGAAUUGAAGAUUGGAAAGAGUGAGAGACCUGCGUAAUUGAGGGUGUAGGAUAAGCCGUUGCAGCCGCGAGCCUUGACUCCCAGCUUCAAGAAGGGCCUCUGACGCUGCUGUAGCAGCUGCCGUAUUCGCGAGGCGGCGGCGUCCGUUAGCGACACGGCUUGGCGUCGCGCCGCCGUCGCUAUCUUCUCCGCUGCCACGCUCAUCGCCUUGGAAGCCAUCGAAGAUAAACUAUCUCUGUCCCGUUGUUUUGGGAUAUUACAGCAUUUCCUCCUUUUCAGGUAUGGCGCGUGGCCGCCACGUUGUGGCUAUGCUGCUCGUAGAACGUUCCCCAAGAAACCUAUGUUAGGUGCUUCUGUGGCCUAAUCAUAACGCUCUGUUAGACCACGGCGGGUGAAGUUAUCAUGUCCCGAUCCAUUGCAUACGUGUGGCGUGUCUAUUUCCGGAAAUAAAAUUUUUUAUCCUUCACAAAAGGGUUUUUACAAAAGCAUUCAUACCAAAUGUCUACUUCAAUUUCAAAUGAUUGAAUAUGAUAUUAUUCAAAUUUUUUUGAUAAAAAAAUAUUCUAACUAAAAUAUCAAAUAUUAUUAAGACUAAUACCUAAUAAAAAAUAUAAAUGUAAAUUUAGAGUAUGAAUGUCAAUAUCAACUAUCAAGUUAUCACUAAUGUAUUGCAUCAUCAAUUUUCAUUAAAAAUUUGACAACAUACUAUUAGUUAAAAUCAUAAUUGUUUAGAAAAUAUACUCAUUAUUCCCUAAGAAAAAAUAAAUCCUAAAAUAUUUAUCAUCUUAAAUUUUUAAUGUAACAUUAAUUAUUAUUUUUCAUUUAUAUCCCAUAUAAUAUUAAUAGUAAGUAACAAAAAUUAUAAAUACAUUAAUAAUUAAUAAAAUUAAUUUUACAAAAUUAUUAUUUUCUUUUAUUAUUUUAUUAUUUUAAAUAAGUAUAAAAAAAUAGGACGACAAAUACUACAAGAUAAAAGGAGUGAAGAAAUUUAUGACAUUAGAUCAAAUUAACACAACUCAAAAUAUAACUUAAAUCCAUCGUGAAAAAUACACUAAACCUAAUUUAUUGAACUCAAAUUUGUCUCCUUUCGAACAAGCGGUUGAUGGAAUGGGAUGAAGAACACCUUUGUUUCCAAACUAAUUUGUAAGCAACUUUAAUCUCAUAAACCCUAACCAAGAAUAAAAGUUUAUGAAAUAAUUGAUUUUCAACUCUCCAUACAAAUUGGAUGCCGAAGAGAGAUUCUAAUAACAACAUGAUAAAGUGAAUAGAAUUGAUGGAAUUGAAUUAUAAAGUAUGAUUUGUGAUGCUUAUAUACGAAGUCAAACUAACUAACUAACUUCUCAUCAAAGCUAUCUAUUUUAACUAACAUAACAUAAUACUCAACUAACUUUUAUAGUCUCUAAUAUCCCCCUCCAGUUGGAGAAUAAAUGUCUAUGAUUUCCAACUUUCAAAUGAAAUUGGUGAAAGAGGAAGCAAGAAGAGGCUUGGUGAAUAUGUCAGUUAUUUGAUGUUGAGUCUUGAUAUAAAUUAACUUGAAGAUGUUUGACUGAACAAUUUCUCAAAUAAAGUGGCAAUCUAUGUCAAUGUGUUUUGAUCUCUCAUGAUGGGAAGGGUUGGAAGCCACAUGGAUUGCUGUUUUUUAUCACAAUACAACAUGGUCGAUCCAAUAUUAACUUCAAAAUGUCCUAGCAAAUGCUUAAGCCAUACAACUUCACUGGCCAUUGAUGAUAAUGCUUGAUAUUCAGAUUCAGCAGAGGACUUUGAGACAGUACCUUACUUCACAGACUUCAAUGAAAUCAGUGCAUCACCAAGAAAUACACAAAAUCCAGUUAUACACUUGCGAGUGUCUAAACAACUGCCCCUACAUCAAGCUGGCAAGUGUAAGGAAUUAUGAGCAGAAAAGAUAAAGCCUUGUCAUGGAGCAGAUUUGAGGUAUUGAAGCAAGUGGGAAACAACAGCCAAGUGAGUUGUCAAAGGGGUUGUCAUGUAUUGACUUAGCUUGUGCACUGCAAAAGUAAUGUCAGGCCCACGAAAUGGUCAAGUACAUGAGCCUACCAAUCAGCCUCCUAUGCAGAGAAGGAACAAGGAUUGGAUCACCAUUAGUCAAGGUCAAUUUUAGAUUUGGGUUCAUAAGUAGUUGUGUUGGCUUAUGUUGAUGGACUGACAAGUGCACAAAUUCGUCCCAAGUAGUAAAGUUAAAAUGAAAGUCCGAGUAUCGUAUCCAUAGAGACUUUAUUUUGUACUUAGGUAGAUAAAUAUUUAAUUAAGAAAAAAAAUUUGGAAAGGGUAGUAGAAAACGAUAAAUUAAAUUGUUGAAAAUUAAAUCAAACAAGAAAAUAAUUAAACAUUAAUUUAAAUUAAUUAAUUAAAGACAGAAAAGAUAAGAAAAUCCAAUAAUAUUGUAGAAGGAAAUUCAGAAGAUGAGAAUAUUGGAAACUUAGCCUACCAGAACUACUCCUUGAUGCAAUGUUAAUUAUUUCUCUCUAUUUAUGAUUAUUUAAAUUCACACAUGCAUCUACUAGUAUACUUUAACUUUGGUCUCCCGCACGAAAGAACUUAAUUUAUCAAUUUUCUCUCCCAAAUCCCUUUACAAAACUAAAAUAGUAAAUUACAUUAAGAAUAAAGAUGUAUAACAGGCUAAACAAAUACCAACAUAUCCAUAGUGAUGACUUUAUUUAGAUACAUUUUCUCAGUUCUAUUAGAAAAUAAUGUUUCCCAACACUAUCCUAAAACUUACCAUGCAAAUGGGUGAUUAAACCACAAACAAUAAUAUUAAAUACAAGAAAGGAUAAUGCAAAAGUAAUACUCAUGUAUAAAUAAGAAGAGAGAUUACAUCAAGGAUAGUUGGCUGUCAAGUUCCCAACAAAGGGAGUUUAGGCUCUCAUUAUCAUGGAGACUUUAAAAUUGUAAGAGGAGAAUAUUUAGUAAAUGGGGAAAAGAUAAGAAAGGGAAUUGAGUAAGAAUGACUAUGAUUGUUUGUUUUUCCUUCUUUUAGCCUUUGCCUUCUAUAAAAAAUUGUAUUCCUGUGUGUCUUCCCCUUCUUCUCUCUUCUUUUAUAGGUGCAAAUUAGUGAACUUUUGAAUUAGUCUAAUUUCCUUAAUUAAUAAUUCUUUCCUUAAUUAGCUUUUUUUUCUUAAUUAGCCAUUAUUUUCUCAAUUAGCUUGUUUUCCUUAAUUAGCUUGCUUUCCUUAAUUAUUCAUACAUUUCUAGGUUUUAUUUCCACCACUUUUAAUAUUCUAUGUACAAAAACUUAAAUGAUGUUAAUUUAAUAAUUAUUUGCUCAAAAAGAAAAAAUUAGAAGAGAAAAAUUACAAAUUUUUACAUAAUUUAACCUCAAAAUAUACUCAUAAUUAGCAGUUAUCAACUUACUACCAAGAUAUCUCGUAUCAUCUAGCAAUGAUAGUGUGUACUUUCUUUGAGAAGGUGAAAUUCCUUUACUAGAUUUGACAAUUCAAGGCCUAAGAAAUAUUUCAAAUAGCCCAAAACCUUUAACUUGAACAUGGAUUGUAACUUGGUUUGGACCUCAACAGCACAUGAAGAACUUGGACCAGCAAGUAUAAUGUUAUCAACAUAUACAAGGAGCACUACUAAUAAGGAUUCAAAGCCACAAGUGAAAAGAGAAUAAUUAUUUUUGGAUUGAAUGAAACCCUGUUGUAAUAGGGGUAGAAGAAAACUUGCAAAACCAUUGCCUGUAGGCUUGCCUAAGGCCAUACAAGGACUUAUUGAGUUUGCAUACAAGACCAAGAGUAGUGGUUUUGUAUCCUUGAGGCAAGUCCAUAUAAACUUCCUCAAACAAAUCUCAUUGAGGAAAACAUUGUUAAAAUCCAAUUGUUGUAAACACCAAUUCCUAGUUGUUGCUACUACUAGAAGCACUCUCAUUGAGGUAAGCUUGGCAACAGAUGAAAAAGUGUCUGAAAAACCUACAUCAACUUGUUGUGUGUAGCCUUUAGCUGCUAAUCGAGCUUUGUAUUUGUCCAUUGUUCCAUUAGGUUUAUAUUUGAGCUUGUAGAGCCAUCUACAGCCAAUAAUACAUUGUGAAGUAACAAUGUAGGUGAAAUGCGAACAAUACCAACUACAACAACGGGCACAAUAGUGCGAUUUGGCAAUGUGAUUGUCUUAUUGGGAAUUGUUUGAUAAGACUCCAAAUUUUUUAAGAAGCAAGCUACAUGAGUGCCAACACCUGAAUCUAUAAGCCAAACAUCUUUAAAGAGAUUAAAGGAAGAAGUAGCAUACAAUAUCAUACCAUUGGAAUCAUUUUCAUUUUGUUUGGCACCUGAGGAUAGACCUUACAAAAGAUGGAUUAGCUGCUGGUAUUGUUGUGUAGUAAGUUGAAACUAUGGUUGUCAGUCUUAAUUCACAUAACCCAUAGAAACUUGAUUCAUUGAGCCAGAAUUAGAGUGAUUUAUUGCUAUAGAAAAUGACUUGUUCAUCUUGUGAUUGGGUGGAUAACCAUUCAUCUUGUAGCAUUAAGCCUUGGUGUGACCUUGAAUGACACAAUGUGCCCAAAUGGGACGAUCUUUCUAAUUGGGUUUGUUCUUCGAAUCAGAACCUUGCUUCACAACAAAAGCAUGAGGAGUAGCAAAAGUAGUACCAAUUUCCUUAUGUUUUUCUUCUUGAACAACCAUAGAAAAAAUCUCGGUAAUGUAAGGAAAAGGAUCCAUAUAGAGGAUCUGACCCCGAAUCCAAGAGUAGGCUUCAUUAAGACCCAACGAGAAAUACAUAACAUACUCAAGUUGAGCAUACUCACACCAAGGUUUGAUUCUAGUGCAUGUGCAAGUAUGUGCAGACUUUAACUUUAACAGAGACUCCCAAACAUAUACACUCAUAAAACCUACUACCUUGUUAGAGAGAAACUAAAUCACGUUCAAUUGGAAAAUUAAAGGUCCAUUUUGCUGCCUAGAACGCUCCUUGAGAUAAUCCCAAAUUGCUUUUGCAAAAUAGCAAUGUAGAACACUAACUUGCAUUUCUUUUGAAAGAGACUUCAAAAGCCAAGAAGAAGCAACAAUGUUGUCAUUGCGAUGCCAAACAAUAUGAUUCGCAUGACCCAAAGCAGGUUUAACAAUAGAACCAUCAAUGAAACCAAAUUUGUUCUGGUCAAGAAGAGCUAUCUUCAUUGUCUUCUUGAAGAACUAUAAUUGUCAUCGGAAUAACAUAUGAGAAACCAACAUCAAACCAAGAUUGUCUGAAGGGUGAACAAAGAAAUAAUUGGCAUCAUCCAUCGCAAUAGCCAUGGGAGAAAACCAAAAGAAAAAAAAAACUUCAAUGAAGAAGAAAAAAGUGCUUUAAAAGGAAGCUAUAAAAAAUCAAAGAAUAUGUGGACGAUAAAUCCCAACUAAUAGCAUGAUAAAUUGAUAAAGUGAAUAGAAUUGAAUUACAAAGUAUAGUUUCUAGAACUUAUAUAGAAGGCUAAACUACCAUAGUACUCAACUAAUUUUUAUAUUCUCUAAUAUAAUAUUAACUAUAAUGUGCGGUAGUUAAAUAUAUUUCGAUGGUCAAUAAUUUCAAAUAUCAAAUCGUUUAAAAAAUUACAUUAUAUCAGUACAAAUGAUAUUUUUAACAAAUAAAUGCUCUAAUUACUUAAAAAGAAAAAAAAAAGAAGAAAAAGUAGAGAUAGGGAGAGGAUGUAGAAAUGAAAAUCCUCAUCAGCUGGCCGACUAGGGGUUUUCAAUUCCAAAGCUUUCUGUCCUGUCUGUAUAUGUUGUUGGCAUUGGCACACUCAUUCUCAUCGCACCGAAACAAAAACCUCCUUGCCCUUGCGGACCAUUUUCAUUUUUCAUUUUUGAAUUAUCAACAAAAAAAGACACCUCAAAAUGAAGCACAAACACUUUUUGUAAGAAAACAAAAACAACAGCAAAUUCCACUGUUCGUUUUCACCACUCAAAUGCUACUACUCUCACUUGCUCACAAAACAAAACCCCUUCAAUUUUCUCAGGUCCUCUCUUCCUCUCAUCUCCGUAAUAAUGUUACAGCUUUCAUCUUCACAUUAACUUUCUCAAUAUUUGUUGUGUUUUUUAAUUAACUAUAUCAUUUACUGAUUCUCCCUUUAGAUUCACUUACUGUGUUAUGCACCUACACUCUACCAUAGUACAGUUCCUUAAUUAUUUAUCACUUGCCCUAAUAUUUCGGCCACUAUUUAAUUAUUCAUUUUUUAUUUUCCACGAACAGGUAUAGGAAGAAACAAUUCCAAGCGAAUUGCAACUUUCACGAACUGAAUUUGUUUCUGUUAAUUUUUUCGCGUAUUUGUGAGAAGCUACGAAUUUUGAUACCGUGAAAAUGGCGACAUGUUAUACACCUUCGAAUGUUAGAAAUUCGCCGGGGGUGCUGGCUGUAGUUGGAGGAAGAACAAUUUCAGAGAAUCACGUAGGUAACAGAUCAUGCUUCCUGAGAAUUCAAGAGAGCAAGACCGUGUUUGGCAGCAAUCGAAAGUGUGGUUCAUUUCAAGUGAAGUGUUCUGCGAUCAGUCGCAAGGAUCCUUUUCUGGAUCUGCACCCUGAGGUUUCAAUGCUCAGAGGAGAAGGAGGGAGUGCAUUGAACAGCCCUAGACCUAGAAAGGAUGUAUCAGGUGGAAACGUGGCCGAAAGUUUGGAAGCCACGACAACUCCGAGUAACUACAAUGAAGCUAAGAUCAAAGUCAUUGGUGUGGGUGGAGGCGGGUCAAAUGCGGUCAACCGCAUGAUAGAGAGCUCCAUGAAUGGUGUGGAGUUCUGGAUUGUUAAUACCGAUGUUCAAGCCAUGAGGAUGUCGCCAGUCAUUCCUCAUAACCGGUUGCAAAUCGGCCAGGAGCUUACACGAGGACUUGGCGCUGGUGGUAACCCUGAGAUUGGCAUGAAUGCUGCCAAGGAAAGCAAGGAAUCGAUACAGGAGGCAGUUUAUGGAGCUGAUAUGGUCUUUGUUACAGUAUGUUCAACUGACCCCUUUUCUUUAGUUAUAGCUUAUGCUAAUUGCAUUAUGAAUUUUGUUUUAGUGCAUGUGUCUCUAUUGUAAUACCAAUAUAUAUAUAUAUAUAUAUAUAAGGAGGAUAAUUAUUUGGACAUAUAUAAAAUUCUAGUAUUUAUUGUUUUGAAUUUUGAAUAUUAAUUAAUGCCUAUUAGAAAUGAGGAACCAGCAAUUCAUGAUCUUUGAAAUCCUCAAUUAUGUAAAUUUUUCAAAAUUGGGAUUAGGCACACUUGCAGUUGUACUGAACUUUUCAUUAUUGCUAUAUUUCAUUAAACUUGAAAAAUGAGAACUCAUUUGUGCAGGCUGGAAUGGGUGGAGGAACUGGCACUGGAGGAGCUCCAGUUAUUGCAGGUAUCACAAAGUCAAUGGGUAUACUGACUGUUGGUAUUGUCACAACCCCUUUUUCAUUUGAAGGGCGAAGAAGGGCAGUUCAAGCACAAGAAGGAAUUGCUGCAUUAAGAGAUAAUGUUGAUACACUGAUAGUUAUUCCAAAUGACAAACUGCUGACUGCAGUUUCUCAAUCUACCCCUGUAACUGAAGCAUUCAAUCUGGCUGAUGAUAUUCUUAGACAAGGUGUUCGUGGUAUAUCUGAUAUUAUUACGGUAUGGAAUCAUGAAGAUCUUUGAACAUUAACCAAUACCUUCCUGCUUUUGCUUUGCUCUUUUUUUUUAUCUCCAUCAAAUCUUGAUUGUUAAAGGAGUAAAAAGGAAAGAAAGAAUGAAAAGGAAACCUUGAGUAUGUUUUGACAAUUCAGUAGUCCCUACCUGAUUCACUAAGUUGUUUGAUAUGUUGGUUCAAAGUUAUGCCUUACCAUUAGUUUAUUUGCUAGAAUUCAAUAUAGUUUUUUGUUAUCAAAUAUGGAUGCAUGUGGGCAAAAUAUACUCUUGCCAUCCCACUAAUAAGAUGUCCUGAUUAUAUGUUUCCCAUGGUUUAAAAUUGGUGGUGUCUGUCUGUACUCUGUAGAAUCAUUUAUGCUCAUUUAUUUUGUAAUUGAUUUCAGAUACCAGGAUUGGUGAAUGUAGACUUUGCAGAUGUUCGAGCUAUAAUGGCCAAUGCAGGUUCUUCACUUAUGGGGAUAGGAACUGCAACUGGUAUGUAUGGGAACUGCAGAUGGAGAUGCAUUACUGGUUCUGGAUUCUGAUCUUCUAUUUGACCUAAAUAACUAGCAACUUUUCCAUACAUUCUACAGUUAUUUCUAAAUUAAGUAAAUUUUAAAAUAUGAAUAUGCACAAAUAUAAAUGAGGAGAUAAAAAUAUAAUUAUUGUUAAAUGUUAAACAAUGUUGAAUUCAGGUAUUGUAAGAAAGAAAAGUAUAAUAAAUGUCUUGACUAUCAAUAAUUAGAAUUCUAUUUUAAUAGAUAGGAAUAAAUUAAAGAGAUAAGACUUUUGAAAUUAAUGAGAUUAUGAAAAUAAAUUAUUUGAAUCAAUACUCGUCAAUAUAUGUGUAAAGGAGGAGAGGGUUGUGUUAGGCCCUUGGUGGCCAACGUAAAACUCAUUGAUAUACCAUACAAUCAAUACACAUAAUCUCAUUGUAUAUUAAUUUUGUAUGAUUUGUCAAAAUUUAAAAUUCAUAUUCAAUUUAGGAAUGACUAAAUUUUAAAAAAAUAGUAUUUCAGAGGGAUAAAAAAUAUUAAAAAAUAUGAGAUACUUAAUCUAGAAGAAGUCAUGUCUCACAUGGCUUACUGAGAAAGAGUGUAGGUCCUAAAAGUCUUCUUGUUCUAGAGCAAGUACUCAAAUUUAAUGGCAAUGGAUUGCUAUUAAACCUCUGGUUUGCUUACUGAAAACAAUAUAAUAUCUGUAGGGUAUUGUGAUACUUGAGCUAUAUAUGCAGAGUAUUGUAAAUAUUACCUUACCAUAAGAAGCACAUGUCUAUAACUAUAAGGGAAUGAUUAUUCGACCAAAGUUUUUUUAGAGGCUUAGCUGGCAUUGCCUUGCAAAUUGAAAGUAUUCCUUUAUAUUGCAAAAAAAAAAAAAGGCAAUUUGAAGAUUAGAAAUGCCACACUUUAAAAUUCUGGAGAAGCACACACAUUGAUGUUGAACAUACUUUAAUGAUCCUCAACAAUAAAAGUUUACCCCUUUACUCCACUUUCAGUUAGCUGAUUAAUUAUUAAAAUAUAAAUUAAUUAUCCUCUGAUUGGCAUACUCUGUUUUUAUGGGAAGAGAGGAGGGUCAGAAUUGAUGAGCAUAUUCUGACCCAUGUUUGCAUAUAUUAUUGAAAAUUUGAAAUUUAUCUUCUGGCUUCUUUUUAUAUUGAAGGCAAAACAAGGGCAAGAGACGCUGCAUUAAAUGCUAUCCAGUCACCUUUACUAGAUAUUGGUAUAGAAAGGGCUACCGGAAUUGUAUGGAACAUAACUGGUGGAAGUGAUUUGACCUUGUUUGAGGUAGCUAGCUAUCCCUCUGUCCCUUUUACUAAUUUUAACUUUGCUAGAUAUUUGUUUCAUCUGUAACACUUUCUUACAUGAUUGUGAUGAUUGUGAAUUGUAUCAGUUUUUCAUGGAUAUGAUAUUUAGGCAAGGGUAAAAAAUUUGAGGCUUAUAAAAAUAUUUGUACAAAACUUUCUCUUCCAUCUAGUAAUCCGGUUACUAUAAUUCUGUAUUGAUAUUUUUCUGGUAAGCUAUUUGUAAGCUUGGUUUUUGAAGCAAUCCAUUCAGUGAGCAAAGAAAUAAAAUAAACUAGCCUUCAUUUCUGGAUUCUAAAUAGCUACCUAUUUAACUAUCUGUAAUCUAUUAUAUUCAUCAUACUCAUUCUAUUUAAUAUGGUCCUUUUUAUGCUAUGGCUUCUAAUACUAUAAUUUACAGGUAAAUGCUGCAGCAGAAGUUAUAUAUGACCUUGUGGACCCCACUGCUAAUUUAAUAUUUGGAGCAGUAAUAGAUCCAUCACUCAGUGGUCAAGUAAGUUAGGCUAUGCAAACCUCUUCAAUUUUACUUUUAUAGUUUUCCCCCCUUAUAAAUUACACUUCUUUUUCCUUCAAAUAUGCUUAAAUUACAAUGUUCUCUCAUUUAAUUUGUUAGAAUAUAUGAAAAUAUCUAAAAAUGUUUUAUCUUAUCUUAAAUUUUCUUCUUAGUUUCCUUAUUUUCUCAUUCUCUCUUAGGAUUAGUCACUUUUUUUUCCUUAUCAUAAUUUGUUUUCUUAAUUAUUUAGGAAUUAGGAUUAUGAUUAGUAUAAAACUAUAAAUAUUAGGGUUAGUAGUCUAGGUUUUAUGAAUAUAUCAAAUACAUCAAUACAUUCUAAUACAUUUCAGUUAAUAUCAACUAGUAUUCAUUCUUUUUUAUCUCUCUUCCUCCUUCUAUACCUAAAAUUCCAUAAUUCAAACAUAGUUUUUAAAACUACACUUUCCUCUCUUGAGAGAUGAAAUGUGCUACAUUUUUUAGUCUAUUUUAAUGUAAACAGACCUACUGGUAGUGGUGAACCACUAUGAAUGAGCUUCCUAGAGACAUUUGUCCUUUCUUUUACAACUUUCAAUGUUACCGAAAGUUAAUUUUGAGCAUCCUAUUGUUAAUUUAAGACUUCAGAGGAUGAAAUAAAAUUUCAAGUUAAGCUCUCUCCUAUCUGCUUUUGAACUUAAAACAUUGAUUCCCUCUUUUAAGAUUUAUGCUUUUAUGUUAAUUUUAUUCUACAUGUUUUUUCAUAGUCAUGUGUCCUAUAAUUUUUUUAAUUUGUCAUGUAACUUGGUUUCAUAUAGGUAAGCAUCACAUUAAUUGCAACUGGAUUCAAGCGUCAAGAGGAAAGUGAAGGGAGACCUAUACAGGUAUGACUUACUACCCCCUCUUUCCUUUGUGUGCCAAUCAGCCGCCCCUAGUCCGGGUCCCUCCUCCUCUCUCUGAUGCAAUACCCAUGAUUCUGCUUUUUGUUCAAAAUGCAGGCCAGCCAAUUUACACAAGGAGAUACGGUUGGUAUCAACCGGCGAUCUUCCUCUUUCACUGAUGGUAGCUUUGUUGAGAUCCCUGAAUUCUUAAAGAAGAAGGGGCGCUCACGUUAUCCGAGAGCUUAAUACUCUUCUCCCCAAUUUCUUAAUCCCUUGAUUUCUUUACAAAGUAAUUUUUAGGGAUACAAAUCUCAUCAGUCUAGGUAUUAGAUCCCGUUUUGCCCCUUUUUUUUUUCAUUUUUAGGUUCGCAUUGGGCAUACUGUUGUUCAAGAAAGCAAAGUACUUUCAAAACCGUUGUUUACUGAGUCGAGGCUUGUUGGCAGGUUUUAAUAAGUUUAUUAGCUUGUAUUUUUUGUACAGAGAAUAUAUCAGUAAUGGUCAGGGCUUGUUAUAGAUAUUUGGCUUGUUAGCGUUACCAUCAAAUCAAGAUUAUGACAACCGCAAACCUAGUCAACCACAGGAUUUAAAGUAAAUUAAAAAUCUUGUACAUGACUGUUUCUUGGUUUCAAGGUAAAACCAAUAAUUCCAGUUAAAAAAAAAAAGUAAAACCAUAACGUUUCAACAUUCUCACAAGCCAGGUGAAACUGCCCCCAGACUUCCUAAUCUUACCUACCCAUGUGGGUCUCCGCAAUAAAAUUUUACGUCUUUGUUGUUCAGAGUAAUGAUAUAUUUCUCUAUAAUUUUUUUCUUACAAAUUUUUCUAAUAUUUUUUUUUGUAUUAAAAUGGUGUAAAUACAUGGAAUAUUUUGGAAAUUUUGUGAAGCAUUUAACACUAUUUUGGUUCGCCAAAAAAGUAAUCCCCACUAAUCAAAUUAAAUAAUAAUAAAAUUAUUAUUUAACUGUCAAAAUAGACGUAAGAAUUAAAACUUAGGAUUGAAAGUGUUUGAUGGAACACUUCAAAGGAUGAUACAAAUAAAAUGCUUAUAAUUCAAUCCACAGUUAUGCAUAUAUGUUUACAUAGAUGAGUGAUAAAAAUCUGAAAUCCAAGGUAUCAAAUAAAAAAAAUUAGGUUCUAAAAAAAAUUAGGCUGCAUCCUAUCAUCACGUCGGCCGAACACUUUCAAAGUGCAAUUUCUCUAGCUGUCGUGCGUGAUCACGUUUAAUGACUUAAAAUUAUGUUGAAAUAUAAUUAAUAUGAUUUUAGAUAAAUAUUCAAAUACUUACUUUCAUAUUAAGGAAUUGAUUAUGGAUCUAAAACUAAUUUUGAGUUGAAAUAAUUUUAAAAGAAAUACAUUGACUAAAAAAAUUAUAUUAUCAAAUUUUAAAUAUAAAUUAUUUUACUUUCGUAUCCAGGGGCCUAACAAAAACACACCCAUGUGAUUGGAAGGAUAAGGAAGGUCCACACUUUCGUAUCAACUGAGUGACAAUUAACCAAAAAAAAAACCUGAGUGGCAGAGGAACUUGAUCGGUUGAUCCACUUGUCAGUCUCAGUUUCCACGAUCUCAAUUAUUUGAAGCAUUAAUGUUGUACCUCCUAAAAUAAGUACUAAACUAGGUAGGAGAAAUUUGCUCACAUGAAUAGUGAUUCCUACAAUAGUGUAGAGAAAAGAUAGCUUAGGGGAUGUGCAUGGCGUGGCGAAUGGAGUUGAUGGAGGAGUGAAAGGAUGCUUGGUUUCUCCAUAAGCUAGCAACCUUCACAUCGUUUGUUUUCUGAUUGUUAGAACACCACCCUCGAAUUCAUUAAGUAUUUGAUAUGGUUUUAUUAAAAAGUAUUUUUUCCUUCAAUUUAUUAAACUUAUAUUAUGAAAUAAGUAUUUGUGUAAGUGCUUCGGAGAGGUUUCAAAAAUAGCUUUGAUAUGUUCAUAAGCUACUUUUAACUUAUUUUAAAUAACAUAUGAAAACAACUUAUAUGUAAUAUAAAAAUAGUUUAACCUAUUUCAUCUUCGAUUAUAUAAAAAAAAAUUAUACAUAUAUCAUAUGUAAUCCUUCAAUAAUCGUUUGAUUAAGUUGUUUAUUGUUUAUUCAAUCUAAUCCUAAAGCUUAAAUCACUACAAUAAAUGGCAUGGCAUGACAUUACAAAAAUUAUUGGAUAAAGUGUAAAUAGUAUAUGCAUUAACAUUGUUUAGGAUUUUUUUAGUGUUAUUCAGUAACUAUGAUAAAUUUAUUGGCAUUUACAAUAAUUAUUUUAAAACAAUAAUUUUUAAUUGAUUAAUUAUGCAAAUUAAUUUAAUUUUUACUAGAAAAAAAAACUCUCAAAAUGAAUUUAUAAAUGUUGAUUUAAUUUUUAUGUAUUAUUGGUAUAAAGAUUUUUAAACUAUCAACUAAUUUUUUUCUCAACUUGCUUUCAACCUUCGUCCUCAUGUUUAAGAUGGAUUUGUCACUCCAAGAAAUUUCAAAAUUUGAAUAUAAAUCCGAAGGAGGGAAUUCUUAAUUUUAGUUUAUUAGUUGGGUUGGUUGAUUUCAGUGGAUGGGAAUGUUGUUGGCUUGAUAUGUAAUUUUCUUUUUGUUGGAUCCUUAGAUAUUGUUUUAUUUUAUUCAAUAACUUGAUAUUAUAGGCGUGUACGUUAAACUUUUUUUAUAUAUAUAAUAUUCAUACCCUGUCCUAUAUAUAAAUACACUAAUGAAAAGACACAUGUACCUACAUCUCCAAUUUCAUAAUUGAGAUGAAGGACGAGUUUGAUGCAUGUUACUAAGUUAGAUAAUAAAAGUAAAACAACGCGGUAUGGGUAGCUGAAAGUACAAUAAAGCCUAUUAUUACCGUACAAAAAAUGGCUUUUAGUUUGUCAGUUAUUUGACAGUUAAUGUAUAUAAAUAGUUUUGAAGGAGAAAAAGGAAAGAAAUUAUAACACGGGGUUAAGGUAGAGAAUGGGACUUGGGGGAAAAAAUGGUUUAUUAUAAAUAUAUAUCCAUUUACUUUUAUUUACUUGUUUAUUAUUACAUUAUUUAUCAUGCCAAUUUUUUUUUUCUGUUUAUCUCUCUUUCUUUCACCUUAUUCUAUUCUAAAACCAUCCCAGUUUAGUAUUAUCCAAUAAUUAUUUAUGAGAAGAUUAAAGAAUUUGUGUAUUUUUUUUCCAGUAAUGAUAUGCUUAGUAUGAAAAUGUUUAAUAUGAAACCUGACAAAGAAUUUGCAAUUAAUGGACUACAGUAUGGGAAUUAUCUUCUAUUUCCCCUCCCCGUAAAAAAAAUCCAGAAUUUGCAAUAUUAGUCUUAAUCGUCUAAAUUUGUAACUAAUUAUCUGUAGUACUGUAUUCAAUAGUAAUCUUGAUCUUCGCCUCCACAGAACAACAAAAUAGUAGUGAUCUUUAUUUUUUUUUAACACGUUUUGUGGGGGAGUAAAAGAUAUUUUUCUAAUUUAUUCAAGUAAUAAUUUUUUAGACUUGUAUUUCGUGUUUCAUUAUUUAUUUUAUUUUCUUCCAUAACAUAAUCAUUUUUAAACUUGACUAUAAACUAAAUAUUGUUUGUGUUAUCAAGACCUCACAAUAAUAUUCUCCUAAGGAAAAAAGAAAAGAAAAAAAAAACACAAAUAUCUUUUCUGGCAUCUCAAGAGCACCUGUCUCAUCAAAACACGUCACAACAGUAUUUGUUGGAUUGAAAAAUGAUGAAAAAAAUAAUAAUACGUUGUUAAGAGAAAAAGGAGUGAAAAACUUAUAAAUAAAAUCGAAUAAUCCAACCUCAUUGGUUGAAAGCCAAGAAUCACACACUUAGGCAUGCAUUGCAUAUCAACGUCAACCUCACAAUCCUCCAAAAAUCAAUCCAAGGAAUCCCCCAAGGCCUUUCCCCCUUCCAUCCCAGUCUCUUUUUUUUUUUUGUCACCAUGUUAAUUAUCUAUCAAAAAAACUUGAUAGAAUAUUUUUAAUAGUGUUUUUUUUUCUAAUUAUAUGUUUUUGCAUACACAAAACUUAAUUUUGAGAUGUUAUUUAAGAAAUUCAAACUUCUUUUUUUUCUCAAAGUAAAAUAUCUCCGUAAUCAAAAGUUAUAAAGCUAACCUUAAGAGAAAAACCAUUUGUUGGUGCAGUCUCUUUUCUUUUCUUUUUCUUUUCAUUCCAUUUUGGCAUGCAUUAACAUUAAUUAAUAGUUCGGGAGUGGGAAGUAAUAAACCACACAAAUAGAAUCCUAUCUGAAACAAGACACGUACGUUUGUCACUUACCAUAGAAAAGAAACUCUUGUGGGCGACGUGUAAACUAAAUUUCCACCCACUUCAUCUUUGCUUUAUUCCUCACACAAACAAACCCCAUUUUCAAAUCUUCUCUCUUCUACACAAUAACAUCAACAAGGAUUGCAGCACACACAAACAAAUACUCUCUCUCUCUCUCUGCAUGAGAAGAUAACAAACAAAACACCUCAUUCUUCAUGGCUCACCAAUCCUCUUCUUCUGAAUCUGAUGACCAUAUUCCUUCUCAUCAUCACCCAUUGGACCUAAACAGUCCCCAUCCUUCUAAAGAUAUCAUCUUCGACGACAACAUGGAGCUACAACAGCACCAACAAGAAGAAGAGAGCAACAUUAACAACCAUGAAUAUGAUGGAGAUAAUAAUAGAGAUAAAGAUGAUAAGGAUGAUGUUACUACUACACAAAACCCAUCUGCAGCUUCAGAAACCAACGAGGAGAAAAUUGCAUUACAAGAAGAGGCUUCAGAUGAUGUUGUUGUUGAAGCAGAAGAAAAAGAAGAGGAUAGUGGACGAGAGAGGCUGAAUCGGCAUAGAGUUGAAGUGGCAGGGAGGGUAUGGAUUCCAGAGAUAUGGGGUCAGGAGGAGCUAUUGAAGGAUUGGAUAGAUUGCAGUGCAUUUGAUGCUCCUUUAGUUCCAAGCAGAAUCUCCACUGCACGAAAGGCUUUGGUUGAAGAGUGUACAAGAGCCAAUGCUGCUGGACUAAUAAUAGAGAACAGGUGUUAGAAUUUUUUUCUCAUUUCUUCUGUAAUUCCAUUCACUUUAACGACAACCAUUUAUAUAAUCCGAUUAGUUUCUUUUUUUUGUGGAUGAGAAUUUCAUUUUCGUUAUGGAUGUGUUUGAAAGUUUAACCAACACUUUGGAAGUUAAAAUUUGUAAAAUAUCAAGUUCUUUAUAUUUUUUUAUUCACUGAUUAUGCUUUCAGUUUCAGCACUUGCAUUUUGUUCUUCCGAGAAAAAAAAUAAGUCAUUAGUUCAAGCAAUUUCCCAAAUGAUCUCUCGCUCGGUUCAAGCAAACCUUUAAAAUGUCUGAAUUGAAGUUUCCAAUGCUUGAGAAGGCAACAUGUAUAAUGUAGAUAACUUUCGGCUAGCCUUUGACAAAUAAUUAUCAGUGUUUUUUCAGGGAAAAGACAGUUUCGUAUAGUUCGGAUUAAAAGAUGCAUCGUAUUUUGUGGUGAGUAACCAAUUCUAACUUGAGCAUACUUAAAUUGCAACAAAUGCCAACCCAUUUUUAUUCACGAAAAUAGAAGAUAUGAUCUGAGUACAUUUGUUUAAUCUAAUCAAGAUUCACCAAUGCUAUACUUCGAAUUGUAGAGUCGGUUAUCAAAUUUUCAAGUAGAGUAAUAUUUGUUUGUCAAAAAGCGAAGGAAUCAUUCGCAUUUAAACCUUAAUGUACAUCUAAUGUACAUACAACUUGAUAGAUCUCGAUAUUAUAAUUUAUUAUGCUCAUUUCUUAUACACUAGUCCUCUCUGUGCAGUAUAUAUUGGCCUUUACAAAUGGCUUGCCGGGGGUAUACUAGUGAAAAUGCGAUAUCUACUGCUAGCAAAAUUUAGAGAAAGAAAAAGGAAAGAGUCAUUAUCAUUCACUGAUUCUAAAUAUCUUGUAGAGAACUAGCUUUGCGACCCAUCAGGAAAUUUUGGGCACGGGGGUGCCCAAUUAGAUUACCUAUUCUAAUCCAUUCUGACAACAAGUUGCCACACAGUGAUUAGUGAGUAAUAUCCUUCUUUUUCAUUCUCUAUCACUACAACUCACUGAAGCAAAGCAUACUUACGAUACUAGUUCACCUUAGGAUAAGUAAUUUAUGAGCCAUUCUUGAGCAAAAAUGUAAAGUUUAGUUGUGACAGUAAUUACAAUUUACAGUCACACUACUGACUCCCCUAAAAAAAUAUAAUAUUCAAUGUCUGUUGUAAAAUUUUAGUAAAUAUAACUAAGAAAAGAAAAAUAGCUAUGAGGAUGCCUGCACAUCUAGCACUUCUAUUAGGCUCCUCCAGUAUAAAAUAUCUGCUACUCAUACAGCAAAUGUGGAAAACUAGUAUGAUGUCAACUCCCACACCUUGAUUGUCCCAUCAUCGCUUGCAGAGGCUAGUACCGGCUUCUCCUGUUUAGUAAAUAACACUGUUACAAAUUGCAGAGACAGACGCAGGAAGCAAAAAACAAUGCUGAUAUAGGUCACCAUUCUCCAAAUAUGUAAGGGAUUGUUUGAUUUAACAAAAUUAUGUUUUUAUUUUCUGUUUACUUUUAAUUACAAAAUUGCUUUCUUGUUUGUACUUUGAUUCUUGAUUUCAAAGAUUAGUAUAAGAAACAGUGAAAACAAUAAAAAGUUAUUUUUUCUGUUUCCUAUACAAAUCUUAAAAAACUGGAAACAAAAUGAAAACAAAGUAGUAUUCAUAAUUAAAAGGGAAAACAGAAAACAUUUUCUCAAAUCAAAAGACCCUAAAGUUUUUGUAACCUAUUAAGCUGUAAUUAGCAAACUUCAAAUUUUGUGAUUCUUAUAACACUAAUGAAAACUUGUACGGUCGUUCAUAAUGCAAAGUCUGCCAAUGACUGUCAGUUAAACACAUCACUAGUCAACUAAUCACAAUUACUUUUAUUGAUCAGGUAUAAGUUAUCUGAAUGAACUUUAUGAGGUCAUUAUUCAGUCUCAGACACAAUAAGCUAAGAGAGCAUUAUCUAAUUUAGCAGGGAAAUCCACCAUUCCACCCACUCGAUGUUUGUGGAAAGAGAUACUCAUUUCAUUAUCAAUGUGAUUCAAUUAAAGUAGUUUCUGAGAAUCUUACCCCAGGGCUCCACUGCACAGAAUUUAUAUCCAUGUCAUGGGCCUUCUCCUUCUUCAGCAGCAACUUGUAGAGAGGACCACCAACCUAUGUUAGAAGAAAGCAAUAAAAUUUUCUCAAUUUUAACCUCUUUUUUCUAGAUAGUGAAAUGCAUCUACAAUCUGCGAAGAUACAAAAUCGAUCAUUUAAAAAAUAUUUUUGUUCAAUUUUGAUCAUUAUUUUACAACAAAAUCAUACAAUCUUAUAGUAGUUUGAAUUUUUCAGGGACUUGGAUUUCAAUGUACAUAUGGAUUUAUCCCUUAAUAACAACUGCACAAAUGUAGAGGUCCAAAACACCUGCACAUUUUCAGACACCGAGAAGAGCACCAAAACAAAAGGAUCUGAUGCAAGUCCAAAAACACACGAAGAAAAUGUGCAGGUGAUCCAGCUCGUCAGUAAACUUGAACAGUAAUGCAAAUAUGCAAGAAUAUUAUGCUCAUCUCUUCAAAAUAAAACAGAGUUCAAUAAAAACUCGAAGCAAAUGAAUAAAGUUGCAAAUACAGUUCAUAUUACUGUUUGACUAAGUGUUCUCUGCAUUUCAGUUGUAAAUAAAGAAAUAUCUGGCCUUGGUUUGUCAAGUCUUUUGCUACUCUUGUCCUUGUUAUCAAGUACAAAGAGAUCAAGAAUUCCAGCUUAUUGAUAUUCACAAAUAGCCAAUAGAAUUAUUGAAUCACAAAGUGUCAGUGAUUUAAAGUGAUUGAUUUUACACCGGAAAAGGAAACUAGUAGUGGGCACACAAAGAAUCUGAUGCUUCUCCUUUCUGCAAACUCUUUCUAUACUAUAGACUGAACAUACAAGGAUAAAAUAUCUAUAUGCUCCCACUGGCAUCCCUAGAGUUAAAGUUACAUGCAUGCCAAAUAAUUACACUUGUUCUCCUCACCAGUACUCAAAACUCAAAAGAAGGGGGAAAAGGGGGUCUUAAGGUGAGGGAGCAGCAGCCUAUGACGUCACUGGGGUUGAUGAGCAAAUUUUCUGGUCAUAAAACCCGAAAAUUCACAGCAUAGGUUAGCUGGACAUUUAAACUUUAAAGCAAGUAAAGCAUAUGCAAUAUAUUGUACAUCCACAACUUAGUAAUUGUUAUUCUCUUAAUUAGAAUUAGGAUACCCAGCAGCUGUAACUUUGUAACUGUAGUCGUCUCCUUAAUUAGGCUACCCAACUGUAGGAUAAAUGUAUAUAUAGCAGUUCAGCUAAUUAUUGGGCUGAAAAUCAUAUUGUAUUGUGUGUGUGUGUGAGAGAGAGAGACAGAGAGAGAAUUCUUAUUUCUCCAGCAGGAGAACACAGUUUUUGCCCUACACUUUUCUGAAUUUGGCAUAUGAAUAUAUUCGGUUAACAUUCUCAGCUGCAGAUUCUAUAAUAUUCAAUUAAUGAACAACUAGUACCAAGCAUAAAUCGCCUGUUUUUUGAGUGAUUACACACUACAUCCUGACAAGAUAAUUUAUCUAUUAGUCAAUAGGCCCACAUAUUACAUUUAGAAUGGUCAUAAGGUGGCAUUUGAACUACUUCUGCUAGUGGAUAAUUGCAGUAAUAAAAAAUUGCCAUACCUGACUUUCAUUGUCAUCCACAAAAAGCCGUAUAGCAUUAUCUGCGGCUCCACUGGCAAAGAUACCUUCUCUGUCAUAUCAGCACAGUGAAGGAUACAGAAAUAUCAGAUUUAUGUAAACAAAAGUUAAAUAAGAUAGGAUACAUCUCACAUCUGAUAUCAUGAUGACAAUCAUGAAGUGAACGAGUCAUUAUCUUAAUGUUGCUUUCAAUAAACGAAAAAGGAAAGAAAAAAAGAAGUAAUGAACUAAUGAUUGAAUCCACAGAAUGCUGUGAAAAUCAAAAAAUGACAUUUAAAUAUUUCAAAACAUCUGUGACUUGGAGCGAAAGAGGGUAACCCAUCCACAAUACAUGAAUAAAGUCAGCACACAUCCGAAAUAUGGAUGUUGGUUGAUUUACUCGAUAACAUAAUAUCUCACAUUUAUUCCAUUAUAAAGUUAUAAUCUUACUUAAUUUGACAUCCUUAACAGCAGGAAUAGGCAUAGAUAAAAAUGAUGACAAUUGACUUCUCAAAGCCAUACAUACAUAUGAAAUUGUGAUAACCAAACAGCAAGCAGGUUAAAUAUGUUUACGUAAAUGCCAAGUGAGAUGCAAAUUUCAUUUUACCUUGACCAAUGAACUGAGAAUAUUGUCCGAUCAUGAUACCCUGAAAGAGUGCAAAGAUGUGUCCUGAAAUUCCAAGAAGAAAAUAAACAAUUUUAUAAUAUCUGGAAAGUAAAGGAUUAAUAAUUAAAACAUGCAUUAAAAAUUAAAUGAUCUAUCCCUAAUUUUUUUAGAAGUUUUAUAGUGAAUAAUAGAUUAUUAACGCAAACCUAUGUAAUUGAUUUCAUAAUAAUUGAAAGAAACCAACAAUGGCAUUUCAAUCUAUUCCAAACCAACAACAAAGCGCAGUUAAAUCAGAAUAUUAAAUGUCAUCAAAGGAUCCUCCAUCGAAUCAAGUAUUUUAAUACAUAGUUGAGUUUAAGAUAAGAUGACUUGGGAAAUGUGAGACAACAGCAAGCAAACAAUGGGACAUGAUUUAGAGAUCGUAGUUAUCAAAUCUCAAGAGCAUCCCGUAGCGGCUAACUCUAAAAAUGCUACACCAGGAUAACAGGAUGGACACUAUAUUAAAUAAUAUCAUACAAAUUGAAUAGUUUAUUCUACACAUAUAAAUCCUCAACAACAAGAAAAUCUAAAAUUAAAGAAAUUCAUGAUAAAUAAUAAGAGUCACACUUUACCAUAGACUAGAGAUUAGAGAAGAGGUCACUCCUAAAAGCCAAGAUGUUAAGAAAGGAGAAAAUUAAAUAUUACUUUAAAGAGUAUACAAAAAUUCAAACAAAAUCUGGUUAUAUAUAUAUAUAUAUACACACAUACUUAUAUAAGUUAUAUUGCUCUACUCUAGACGGCUAAAAUGUUACUGGUUGCAUCAUAAUACACUAUCAUAUUCACGAGACUGUCCAUAUGUUUUAUCCCAAAAGAUAGGUCCUCUGCCACAUUACAGGACUAUUCCUAAAGGAAAACCAGUUUCAGGAUUACAAAGCAAUAACCCAUAAUAAUAGCAUGUGCAUAAAUGUGUAUGGUUUACAUCAAAUAGCUUCCUAUUAAAUAUAUGAAACGUUAAAUACAUAUUCUAGUACUCUGUGCCAGAGGGGAAAAAGCUAGUGUAAAAAAGGGGCAAACAAAAGAAACUUGUGUAAUACUAACCAAGGUGCAAAUCCACCACCAGAUUGCGUCCCUACACUUUCUGUUUCCCAUACCUUCAGUGUAAGAUCAUCACUGCCAUAAGGGAUUGGCAUCAAAAUGCUGCAGAAGCUCAAAAAAAUGCCAAAACAACUAGAGGUGUGAACAAAAAGAAAUGUUCCACAUACCUACACGUAACCAUUUUGUCACCACUCACAUUGAAGGAGAGGGCCCAAACAGUGGAAGUAUGACCGCUGACAAAUUAACACCAUUAUACAUGAAUUAAUUAACAUUAACAUUGGUUUGAAAAAAUGGUCAUCCUACAUAGACUAGUGUAAAACAUAUUCCAUAAAAUAUGGAAAAAGCAAUCAUGGCUAAAAGAGAAGAAAACCAAGAAGCUUCAAAAUUGGAGGUGAUGGGAGAGGUCGAGAAGUAGUACUUAUUGGGUUCCCCAAGCGUUUGAACACACUGCCAAUCAUCACUAUCACCUUCAUCCGCCCAAACCUGGAAGAAAAUUCAUUGCAUUAUAAAACUAUUAAUCAUAACACUUCUUAAUCACAUUCAUCUGCAAAAGAAGCAAACGUACACAACAAUAAAUGAACAAAAAAUGAAAUUAAAAAGGGAGAUACUCUUUUAGCAUUGGCAACAAUACCUUAACACUAUUAUCGUAGCUACAUGAAAACAAGAUAUCCUCUGUGGGAUGCCACUUCACCAUUUUCACAUCCUGCGAGUGUCCUUGCAGCACUGACACACACUCAAACUCAUUCCCAGGCAGCACUUCCCAUAUCCAAACAGACUUAUCUCUACUACAAGUUGCAAGCAACGUCCCAGCCGCGUUCCAAGACACACACUUGACUUCAUUUUCGUGUCCCUAUAGUAAAAAAAUCACACAUAUCUCAAAAGUAAAUAACAGUGAUCAAAUAAUACACAUAUCCAAAUUAAAAUAAAAAAUAAAAAAAAAAGUAUUUAGCAGUAACCUACCUCCAAAGUAGAAACACACUCAAAAUCACCACCAACAUUUUCCCAAAUGGCAGUGGUGGCAUCGAAGCUUGCAGUGGCCAAUAGCUUACCCGACGGUGACCAAGCACAAGAUCGAACAGUUCGAGUGUGCGUUUCAUCCAGAACCGCCUACAUUUUAUUUACAUAAUAUCAAUACAAGUUUCUUCAAUUAUGAAAUAUAAACUCAAAUUGAUGAUGAAAAUUGGGAUGAGAAAAGACCGUGCAGGCCCAGAGGCCAGAGGAGAGGUUCUGCUCCCAGAUUCGGACGGUUUUGUCGCCGCUGCAAGAAGCGAAGACGAGUGGGAUACCGGCGUGACCGGUGGUCGGGUUCCAGGCCAAGCUCCAAACCUUAUCGGUGUGGCCUUCGAGUCUCUGAAUCUCUUUCAACUCCAUCAUCGCCAAUCGAUUUUACUCUUCUGCGUACACUGACUCUAAAGUCUAAAGUCUAAACUCUGCUAUUUCCUACUUCCUCUCCCACAGAAGCGUGCGUGCAUAUCAUUUCCACGCGUCAGAGAAAAAAAGAAGAAAAUAGUUUGAACAAACAAACAAAAAUGACCAAAUGGGCCGCCACCAGUCCAGGAUGGGGUGUGCAAAUGGAAAAACUAGGUAUUAUUUUUUAAAAAUAGGUCGUUUUAAAUUAUUAUUUAAUAUUUUUUUUUAAGUACUGAAAAAUAGGUCUUUUAGAUUAUUAUCUAAUUUUCUUAUACGUCGUCUUCAACAUGCUAGCCGGUCGAACCGGUAACCUCGAUCUCCACACCUGCACCAGCGUCGUCGGUUACUGCCUCUUGCCGGUCGUCAUUUUCUCUGCCCUCUCGCUCUUCUUACCGGUCGAUGGGGUCAUUCGCCUCUCGGUCGCCGCGGUUUUCGUCUUGUGGGCCACCAGGGCCUCCGCCGGACUCGUCGUUUCGUUCGCCGACGGCGGUGACGAACACCGUGGACUCAUUGCAUACGCAUCUUUCUUGAUUUACACUCUGUUUUCGUUGCUUGUCAUAUUCUAGGGUUUGUCGUUGGUUCUGGGAUAUUUGGAUUGGAUCGCUGUUCUUAUGGUUUUACUUCUUUUCCUUCAUUUUGAACCUUGUUAUUUUUUGGGUGCAAUUAUGGUAUAGAAAAUGGAGUUAUUAGUUUGAUUCAAUGUUUCUGUCUGAAAAGUUAUUCCUUGGUUACAUUUUUGUUCUGAUAUUGAAAGGUUUUUGUAAAGCUUAUAAACACGUUAAAAGCUAUUGGGCUAGUUUGUUUAAAAUUAAAAUUAGCAAUUUUAAAAUAAGUGCUUUUAAAAAAAACUUAUUUAAUAAGCAUAUAGGAUUUGCUUCUCAAAAUAAGCAGUAAAUUAUUUAUUUUAAACAAAACAGUUUAGACAAACACACUACAAAAACAUAAAGUUACUUAUUUUAUUAAAAUAAAUGUUUUUUAAUAAAUAAGUUUAAACAAACUGAGUCAAAUUUUCAAAUUUUCCAUAAGUUUUUUCUCACACUUAUACAAGUGCUUGUGUUAUAAGUCUAGAUAGGCUGUAAAAAGACUCUUCUAAAUGCAUCCCAAUUAAACAGUUUGAACUCCUUAAUUUAUCUUCAUUAGAGAUUAAAAUUGAAUGCUGCCGGGGUAAGGGGAUUUCAACUCAGAAGUAACAAGAAAAACUUGAUUUUGCGAGCUGGAGUUAUGACUAUUUGUUAGGGAACAGGAAGAGGGAGUAAUGAAAGUAUACUCUAGAAGUAACAAGAUGACUAAUAGGUGAUUAGGAGUUGAGUAUAAAUAGGAGGGAGGGAUAGCAAAAAAGGAUAAUUGUAUUGUAAUAGAAAACUGUAUUAAAUUAUAAGGGGCAUUUUCCUUGGAAGGGUGUUUCUCUCUCAACCCUUGUGGAGUGAAACUCAUUCUUUCAUUCUCUACUAGGACUCACCUAUCUUCUUCUUUGGACUUAUCACUAUUUAAUUGAGGUAUGUAAUUCUUUUCUCUGAUGGUGAUAUGGUGUAUCAUUUUGAUCGAUUGAUUUGGCAAAAUACAUAUUGUUAAGCAACACGUCUUAACAUCCACCAUGAUUAUGAUGGAUGGAAUACUUGCAUAGGUGACUUCUUGAAAAGCUGUAGAGUGCUGUCUUUAUGUUUAAGGAGCUUCAAGUAUGGCCAUGCUGUUUGAGACUUGGAUUUUCAUAAAUAUUUUCACUAUAAAUGUUUUCCAUGCGCAAACUGACCCUUAGGUUUGAGUUUUAUUUUUAAGUUCAUUUGCCAGCUUGCUGAAACCUACUAACUAAAUCUUGCUCUCAUUGUAGUGUAAUUCUGUAGCAAAAUUGACUGAUAUUAUUUAUCUAUGAAACUUAAUAGGUUCAUAAAUAUCAAAUUUUUUAACACUUAAAAGUUUAGGGCCUAACUCUAUCCCACAAAACUAAUUUGUAAGGUGGAGAUUGUCGAACUUUAUAAGCUCUAAUUAAGGUAGCCCUUAGGCUACAAUUAAGUUAUCUCUCCAAAGUGGCAACUAAGGUGGGCUACUAGUUGGGAAUGUUACAACUUACAAAUGAUACCAUCUUAAAAAUUUUGCUUAGCACCUAACUCAACAUCACAAAAUCAGCUUAUAAGAGUAAGAUGAGGAGUGUCCUAGUUUUAUAAGGGCCUAACUCAACAUCACAAAAUCAGCUUAUAAGAGUAAGAUGAGGAGUGUCCUAGUUUUAUAAGCUUUGAUUAUGUCUGAUCUCUAGUUGAUGUGAGACUAAAUAUCCACCCUUAAGAAUGUAAUUUAAGACAAUUCCCAAAGAUGUCACAACUAAGGUGAAUUGCAAUUAAAGAAAUUUCCCAAUAACACUUUCCCCUUAUCUAGAAGCAUAGAUCUGAUCUAAAAUAUGUAUUCCGUGCUUUGAAUUUAAAUUGCUAUGGACUAAUAGUACCAACAUUUCAAAUCUGUGUAUGAAUUAAAUUAUUAUGAAAGUUUAAUUUCGUGGAUGUAAUUAAUAAUGAGUUAUUACCAAGUAGGAUGAUAUUUUUGCAGGGUCAAUUGCAAUUGAAUUCAGUCAUUACGUAUUAGGGUAGGGAUCUAAGUAAAUAUGCAGACUUGAAAGUUUUUAUAUGAACUAUGAUUUUGAAAUUACUACGAUUAUUUGAAUGUUUUAUUUUAAUUUUUCCUAGUUUUUCUAAUUCUUAAAAAACUCUCUACAUCGUUACCUUACAUAUUGAGACGUUGCAACGUUUCUUAUUAUCAUAUUUGAUUCUGCCGUUGACUAUGUUAUCAUUUUGGUUAAUCUGAUUCUAUUGUUACUCUUUCAAAUUGUGCCUGUUGAGUGUUUGGUUUUUGCCUAUAGACUGUCAUGCUCUUAUCCCAUCUUUCGUUACAGUUUAAUCCAGAGAAAUAAUAUAGUCUUUUCUUUUUUCCUUAUAAAAACGCAGGAAAUUGAUAAAAUGUUUUUAUUCCCCAAAACAAACUAAUUAAAAGUUAAAAUGCGCAUUUAAUUGGUAUUGUUUAAGGCCUCCCUCUCUGGCUACAUAAAAUAAGCACAAAAUCAGAACGAAAAGAGGUAAACGAUGUAUCUGCUGCAUCUUUAUCUCUGGUGUAUUCGUGUUAGAUCACCUACUCACUACUGCGCUGCCACAAUGACAAGAAUAGCCUUUGUUUGCACCUUUGAUUAAUUAACAUCUAUAGGAGGUCAAAUUCAGACCCUAGAAUGUUCAAUUAUUUAGGUGUCAUUCUUGAUAUAACAAGAAAGGAAUUACUCUCCUUAGGAUUUGAACCUAUGAUGCUAUAUAUAUAUAAAAAAAAGGAUUUGAACCUAUGACAUAGUCCAUGCUUAUUAGAUAGGGUGUUUAAUCUUUGACUCCGCUUAACUAUGGAACUGAAGGAUAUUGUUAUGUGCAUCCAGCAUAAUUGUUGGUACAUCUAGCACAACAAUACGAUUCUUAUUUUAUCAUUCCAUAAAACUAAUACUGGUUGGACAAUCCAUAAGUCUCACAAAGAUUAUUGGACAAUUCAUAAGUCUCACAAAGAUUGUUGAAUCUGUAUGAGACUUACGGAUUGAGCUUAUGGAUUGACAAUCCAUGAAUCACUUGCAGAUCAUAUGAAUUUUAUUAUAUUUUAAAAAAAAUAUGUUUUAUGAAUUAAUUUAAAAUUAAUAAUCUAAAUAGGAAUUGAACUUGUGACUUUCAUGUUAUUGGUCUAACGCUCUAAUCAACUAAACUAAAUAGACAAUUAUGUUAUAAAAUAGUUAACGUUGUUAACGAAAAUAUAAUAUACUAUAAUAUGUAGAUACUAUAUUAAAUCUUAAUUGUGUUUGUUAAUAUAAAAUGAUAGUUGUGAAUAUUAAAAACAAAAAACAUGCCAAAAGAGUUUUAAAAAGACACUAACGAAAAUUAUUUAAAUCAAUUUGAAUUUUAAUUAAAAAAUAAUUUAAAAAUUGAAAAUAAAUUAUAAAUUAAAUGGUUUAAUUUUAUCAAUUUAAUUAGAAAAAUAACUUUAAUUGAUAGAUUAAUAAAACUUUGAAAAUGAAUAAUUAUUUUAAUAGUUAAUCAUAAGAAAGUAAAAAAAUAUUUUAAAAAUAUAAUUUUUAAUGUUAUUAAUAUAUAUGUGCAGUAAUUUCAAAGUUAAAAAUAAUAAUUUUUGAAAAAUAAUUAUGAUUGUAUGAGUAUAUUUGAAGAUAAAUUUUUAAAAAUAUAUAAAAGAGGAUGAUUAUCUUUCUCUUAUUCUAUUUAAAAAUAUAAUUUUUAGUUUUUUAAAUUUUAUACAUUAAUAUGAUCAUUUAAAUCAAUAGUUAUUAUGAAAUAUAAGUUUUUAUCAAUGAUUGUAACAGCUUAGUUUGUAAAUUCAAAUUAAAAUUUUAUUUAAGCAUACAAUUUUUAAAAGAUUUAUAAAAAAAAAUAUCUUUAAAAUUUAAUUUAUGAUAUUCUAAAAUAUGAGAUAUCAUUCAAUACAAUGACGAGCAUAUUUAAAUUUGGUGGUGCGCGGGCAGGAAUGUUUUCUGAAUUGGCAGAUUCUUUUCCUCAAAUUCAAAAAAUAAUAUCAUAAGGGAUCCUUCAUACUUCAAAUUCUAUGUAUUAAAACUGACUAGUCAAUAAUAUUUAAUAUUAUGUUCAUUAAUUACAAUAUACAACCAAAUUUUAAAGUACAUAUAAAUGUAUAAAUGUAAAAUACACGUGUUUUUAAUAUAUAAUUAAUAAAUUAUGAUCAUUUCAUAAAUGAUCAUUUUCCUCAUAAUUGAUAGUCACGGUGUUUAGUAUAAAUAGGAGAUCAUCAAGUCCAAAAAAAUAAUAAAAAUCUUUUUUAUCUAUAUAUUUUUUUCUCCGUUUUAUUAUUCAGAAUGUGCCCUCUUAUGAUAUGUGUUUUCUCUUUGGUGUUGGUUCUAAAUGUACCUAUCUCGUUUGCUUCUUAUGACUUUUUUAUGUUGUCUGAAACAUGGCCAGCAACCUUGUGGAGUUAAAAACCGUUUGUUACCAUGUGCCAAACAACCAAACACGUUCACUAUCCAUGGACUAUGGCCACAAAAUCAUAUUGGUCCUCAGCCAACAUCAUGCAGCAACCUCCAAAAGGAUAAAUUCGAUAAAAGAAUUGUGAGUUUAUCUUGUACAUUAACAAUAUCAGAAGGUACCUACCUUAGGGGGAGAAGGGGUUGGAUAACGCAGAGAUGGCACAAUGGUGAUGGUUUGACGUAAUAUUGAGGUGUCAGUAACAAAACGUGACGAUGUGGAACUUUGUUUGAUCAUCAUUUAACGAAGGGAGGUUAAUGACGGGUAGUAAAAUAAAACCUAAAAAAUUUUUAGGUACUUGAUUGGAAAAAAUGAAUGUUAAGUAGUAAUUUAAAAAUGAUCUAUUUUUUAGGUAAGAAAAACUUAAUUAAACCUAUUUUUUUAUAUCAAUAGAGAUAUGUAAUAUUUUGUAUAUGAAUAUUAACAAUCAAAUUUAAUUUUAUAUUUCACGAAAUGAUAAACUUUACUCUCCUUGAAUUUGAAUGAGACAAAUUUCACAUAUCUAUUUAAAGUAUUCACAUAUCCUAUUUUAAUGUAAGAGAAUUUAAUGAAACAAAUUUUACAUUAGUAAAAAAUAAUUAAAAUUGUGUCCCAAAAACAAUAAUCAUGUUUAAGAAUGAUCAUUUUGACUUAUUUUAAAAUUACAAAGGACAACUAAAUUAACAUUUUUUAAAAUGAUUAAAUUGGAUAUAACAAAAAAUAUAAAGGAUUUAUAAUUUUAUUUUAACCCAACUAAAAAGAUGUAAUUUUUCCUAUAAUGAAGUUAUAAUUGUUCCUUAAAAAAAGUUUCAUUGGUAAGAGGAACCUGCUAACAUGUUAUAAGGAUAUUGAUUAAAGAAUUUUAAAAAGAGAUUUUUUUUUAUGUGUAAAUUAUAGGAGAACACAAAAAAAUUAUGGGAAACUCAAUUUUGCACCUAAAAAAAACUUUCUAUUCUUAAUUCCUUAACUAAUACCUUUAGGAUACUUGGUAUAUGACUUGUUAAAAGAGUUCAUCAAUAUACAUAGAUGUGCUUUGGUUUGAAUGAAGAUAAAAUUGAUUUUUUUUGUCGAUAAAUUUUGUUUUUUUAUUCAUAAGAAUUAAAUAUGAUAUGAAUGGAUUUACAUCCUCAUAGUGUUUAACUAAAUGAGUUAAAACUAUUGAUUUUUGUCUUUUAAUAUAAUCAUUUGAAUCCUUAAAUAAUUAAUUUGAUUCAUAUUAAUUUUGUUUAAGUUUUAUUUUUUUAUAAAAAAAGAUAAAAAAGGGUUAUAUAUUAAUAAUGUAAAUAAUUUUACGCCACCAUUCAAUCACAACCAUUUAUGUAUGAUGAGUCUGUUAACUUUUAAAAUAAUUAAUAAUUAAAUGAGAAUAUAAAAUUGUUUAUAAUUUCAGUACAUAGACAUUAAACUAUAAAUAAACACUUGGCUCCUUGAAUAUUUAAUUCAUCUCACUUUUGAAUUAAUCAAAAUCCAAAGCAAUUUUUUCCAUACUAAAGUUUUACAAUAAAUAACAAUUUUACUUUUAUUUUCAUCCUCUAAAGUAAACCAAACACAACAUUAAGAAUAUUACAUAAUUUCUUCGGUUCUUCCUACCAUUUUGGUGUGUGAAAGAGCAUCUAGCCUCCAAUGUUUCAUUUGUCGACAAAAAAGAAAAAAAUAUCUCUCCGUUCAUCUUAUCCCUAAGGAUUCACGCUGGUCACAAAAAUCCCCAAAUUGCCCCGGUCCUCCUUCUUCUUCUCCCGCUGGCUUUCUGAAAAUUUUGAAAUAACCGCUCUCCCAUUUUUCCGUUCCAAAAUUCAAAAACCCAAUCCCAAUCUCUCCCUCCUUAUUUAAAUCCCUCAAAUUUCUCCUUCAAACCACAACAAUGCCGUCGAUACCAGAAGAACGACUCCUGACUCCGAACCCAGACCGGUUCUGCAUGUUCCCAAUCCAAUACCCUCAAAUCUGGGAAAUGUAUAAGAAAGCCGAGGCCUCCUUCUGGACGGCGGAGGAGGUGGACCUCUCGCAGGACCUCCGCCACUGGGCCACCCUCAGCGACGGCGAGCGCCACUUCAUCACCCACGUCCUCGCCUUCUUCGCCGCCUCCGACGGCAUCGUCCUAGAAAACCUCGCCGGCCGCUUCACCAAAGAAAUCCAACUCCCGGAGGCCCGCGCUUUCUACGGCUUCCAAAUCGCCAUCGAAAAUAUCCACUCCGAAAUGUACAGCCUCCUCUUAGAAACCUACAUCAAAGACUCCACAGAAAAAAAUCGUCUGUUUCGCGCCAUAAACACCAUCCCAUGCAUCACCAAAAAAGCCCAGUGGGCCCUCCGCUGGAUCGAUGCCUCAGAAUCCUUCGCGGAGCGCCUCGUGGCAUUCGCUUGCGUCGAGGGAAUAUUCUUCUCCGGAAGCUUUUGCGCGAUAUUUUGGCUCAAGAAGCGUGGGUUAAUGCCGGGGCUCACCUUCUCCAACGAACUCAUCUCGCGAGAUGAGGGGCUUCACUGCGACUUCGCGUGUCUCUUGUACUCGCUUCUCAGGAAGAAGCUUAGUGAGGAGCGCGUGAGGGAGAUUGUGCGUGACGCGGUGGAGAUUGAGAGGGAGUUUGUGUGCGACGCGCUUCCGUGUGCGUUGGUGGGGAUGAACGGGGAGUUGAUGAGUCGGUAUAUUGAGUUUGUUGCGGAUCGGUUGCUGGAUGCGCUUGGGUGUGGGAAGGUGUACGGUGCUCAGAAUCCCUUUGAUUGGAUGGAGCUUAUUUCGCUUCAGGGGAAAACUAACUUCUUUGAGAAGCGCGUUGGGGAGUACCAGAAGGCUUCUGUUAUGUCUAGCUUGAAUGGUAAUGGAGGGGCGCAUGUCUUCAAGAUGGAUGAGGAUUUUUAAUUUUUUUAGGAUGCUCUACUAAUUAUUACUAUUUUUUAAUCACUGUCGUAAGGUUGCUUUCAUGUUUUUAACUUCAUUCAAUGUAACGUGGCUUUUUCUGUUCAUUGUAUUAUAUAAUCCGGUUUACAGUAACGUACUUGAAUUGAAGAAUUGAUUAGAUAAAUAGUUUAUGUUGGUACCAGAAAGCAUUUGAUUUUGUUUUCCUUGUUAAAAUUAGUCACCACUGGAUUUAAAACUGCACUUCAUGUAUAAAAAGAGGGUAGGCAGAGUCAAGCAUGACAAUCCAGGCCUCAAAGAGCUUGGGAUAUCGUACUUUUUAAUUUCAUAUUGAGAGCAAGUGAGGGAGUUUUACUAUUACAUCAUUUUCUGUACCAAGGUACUUCAGUUACUGAUAUCACACUGAUAUCCGAACCAGAAUUUCAGUUUCACUGAUAAUACUGUAACUAUUCAGCUUUUCUUGUGCAGUUCCAUACUUAAUAAGUGGACUUGCUUAUCAUUUCAACCAUAUUAACGUUUAAUGGAUACCAUUCUUACAUUCCUUGAAGCCAUAGAAUCUACAAUUUGGCUUGGAAUUAGUGUGAAAUGUUUUUGUUCAUGCAUAGGUUUCAGUAAGUGUAAAGAUUUUAAUGAUGUUCAUUGGUUGACUUUGUUAUUUUUUUAUUCAUUUGUUGUACUUUGUUAUGAUUAUCUUUUGCUCAAUUUAAUAUGUAUUUGGACAAACUUUUUGUGUUCGAAACAAACUUUGUUAUGAUAAUUCAAACUUGUCUCUAAAACUUAACCAAUCCAGAAAUGCACUUAGUUAUUCCAAAUUAAUCUGAAGUCUGUUAUCUGAUUCUGUACAAGCUUUUCCUUCUGUUCCUACUUAAAAAGUGAGGUUAUCUGGUGGAAGAACCAAGAAGGAUGAGAAACAGUUAUGUAACGCAAAAUGGCCUUGUACUAUGAAAUGAUACAGAAGAGAUGGCUUGCACUGAAGCAGAGCUUGCAGAGGAUUUUUCAUAAAAAUGCUCAAUCAACAAAAGUUAUAGGAGCAGGUAAAAAUAUUUAACUACUGGUGAGUGAUGAAGCUUUUGGUACAUUUGUACUUGUACGCUGUUAACAUACCUUGGAUUCGUUCUUGAGAGAGAAGCUAAAGCACCCGCGCAAGUUUAACUUGAAUGAUCAAUCUUCCAUCCUUGAGAAGGAAAAUACUAGUUAACAAAAUAAAGGGAGAUUCAUUUCGAAACAUGCUUCCAAUAAGAAAUUUUUUCAGGGGUAGUCAAUUAAGUAUUAACACACCAUCUCUGAUUUUAAUCGCAGUCAUUUUAUAUUAUAAAAAUUAGUAGCAACCAAUAUAUAAAUUAUUGCAUUGUAGUAUUUGGUUUUGGCGCAUCCAAUGGUUUGCAGAGACUUGCUGUGAAUGGAUCCUAAAAUAUGAUUUGGAAAGAAGCGUGGCAAUAGAACAAGGAGUCUAUUCGGAAAUUUAUAAUAUACACAUAUAUUGGUUUUCUUAGUUCAGUACACUUGGUUCAUCUAAAUUAAAUGACUAAUUUUGUCUUCAAAAUGAUUAAUCUCUCCUUGGUUGGUUAGUUCUGACGCUAUAUUGCUGUCUCUAAAUAUUAAAAAAACUCUACAAUAUUCAAAUGUUUUAACUUGGUUUGCUUACUUGACAGAUAGUUUUGCAGGGUGACAAUCUUUGUUCACGAGAUUAGAUUCAUCAUGCAUUCGACUUUUAGUCAAUCUAGAAUAAUAGCGCGCCUAGUGCAAAACACGGGCCAAAAAAGCAAAACAGAAAUUGUCUUUUAGAAUGAAAAUUAAAAAUGAAAAGUGAGAGUGCGCUAUUGACACAUGGAACUUGUAUAUAAUGGUAACUGAUUUUAGGAUCUAAAAUUAUUUAUUAAAAUAAAGUAGCUGAUUUUAUUCUUAAUCAAUAAUAUUUUUAUUAAAUUUGAUCCAUUACACUCUUUCUUGAAAUAUUUGGGUUUUUGUGAAAAAAAAUAAAUUCAUACUAUAUAACAAAAUUUAAUCUAUUUUUCUCUAAUAAUCAAUUUGAAUAUUAAAUAUUUUUCAGUUCACCAAUGAUAUCAAUUUUUUUACACAAUACUUAUUAUUUGAAGUCCAUAAGAUGAUAGAUAAGUAAAGAUAUUGGCUCAUCCUAAAAAAAAGCGUAAAGAUAUUAGUUUGUAGGUUGUAUGUACAAAAUUAAAUUAUAAAUUCCUUAAAAUAAUAUUGCAAAAUGAUGUAAGAGGAGAAUGAGAAGCCGCAAUUUUUUCUUCUCAAUAAAAAUGAUUCACUUGAUAUAAACCAACCAAAAUAAAUAAAUAAAAUGACACAGCUUUUUUUUCACAGAGGUGGAAGUUGGAUUCUGUGAAGUAUAAAAGCCCAGCCCAUUAAGAGCAAAGUGGGGCCGUAAAGUACGUGCGAAGCGGUGAUCUAUUCCGAAUUUCCGAUCUUAGUUUGCGUUGCGUUGGCGUAGGUUGAAGAAGAAGAAGAGAGAGAGAGAGAGAGAGAGAGAGAGAGAGAGAGAGAGAGAGAGAGAGAGAAGGGUAAGGUAACCCUAGAGUGGUGAAUCGAAUUCGAAACGAUGGAAAGUGUUUCUCGAAGAAGAGGUGGAGGCAUUUUCGAAAGCCUCUACAAGGUCGUUAUGCGUCGCAACUCUGUCUAUGUUACCUUUGUCAUCGCUGGCGCCUUCCUUGGAGAACGGGUCCAUCCUUUUGCCUAUGCCUUUUUUCCUUUAAUUUCAAUAUUAUUAUUAUUAUUAUUAUUAUUAUUAUUGCUAAGAGAUUCCCGUUAUUGGUUGCAGGCUGUUGAUUAUGGAGUCCACAAGCUCUGGGAGGCAAAUAAUGUUGGGGUAAUAAACCUUCUCGACUCUAUGUUUGAUUUAGUCUAUCUAUCGAUUUUGUAGUGCAUGACAUGCCAUAUGCUGUUAGUUUUCUGAGGCAGUAGAUUUGACUGGUCAAAUUGAAUUGAUGUUGUAUUCUCCAUGUUGAUGUUGGUUCUAAGAUGUACAUGUUGUAUAACUUUUAAAGGGAUCAAGCUUCUAAUAACCUCAUAGUCUGACUAUCAAUUGUACCAACGAAAAACGAGACCAAUCUUUAUGUCUACUCCGGUGGUAGGGGGCUAAGACUUGGUUGUUGUUGUAUUAUGACUAUGACUAUCAAUCAACAUUCAACUCACUAUCGCAUGUUACUGCAAAAUAGUUCAUGAUUUGAUUACAUCGUAAUUUAUUAUUAGAUAUACAAUUAGAUUAUGAUGUAUGAUAUCCAAUUGGAUUAAGCUUGAUUUGCAGCUUAUACUAAUAACUACUUACUAUCUUGCCAAGUUCUAUUCAAAUCAUUUUAAAUAUAUACAUUAUCUUAUGAAUUUUUAUGCCACAAAACUUAUUCUUCAGUCUUUUCUAAUGACAAAACUUAGGUACUGUCUCAUUAGGUGGUGCCUAGUGCCUACGUUCCUUGUUUCCUACUUUUUUAUGCUACUUGUUCAUCUUAACUUGUGGCUGUUGAAUUAAAUGUGCUUGGAAACUAUUCAAUUGCAAUUAGAAAAUAGUUUAACAUCCCUUUUGCAUGACCCAUCAUCUUGUUUGGGGAUAAUGCAAUUUUCACACAUCAUAAUUUUGCUUGCGCCAAACAGUAUCAAUUGUUUUGUUCAAGUUUUGUCAACAAUUUUAUCAAUUUUUAUUCUUUACUGUGCUCUGGUUGCCUGACUCCCCAAAAGAAAAGCUGCAGAAGAAAAUAUGGUUCUUUUUCUUUAAUAUGGCUAAACACACACAAUCUUUCCCUCUCCUGCACCUAGAGGCAGCCCUUUCUCUUUUCAUUUCCCUUGUCGUGAGAGCUCAAAAUUUUCAAGGGCCACAGGUUGGUCUUCACUGCCAAUUGUGAUGUCUCUCAUCUCAAUAGCUAGUUCUUUCACUUGACUUCUCUCUGUCACAUGUUGGUAAUCUUGCUUCCAUUAACUUCCUUAAGAAAAGGGAAAAACGUUGUGGUAAUCUGUAAUCCAUUUGUCAAAAUAAGGUAGUGUUUGAUAGGCAUGCUAGAAUAGGAUGCAACAUAACAUAUGAGUUCUAUUUCAUGUUUGGUUCAUUUUAGAAAUAAUAGAAGUUGGAACAAACAUGAGGUUGGGAAAUGGUACAUUCUGGUUUUGUUGAAAAAGUAGGGAACCAAGGAGAAAGGAACAGAAUGGGAUGUUCCACUUUGUUUUGUUCGUGCAGCAAAUGCUACAGAAGUAUUCUGGUAUUCAUUAUUAUUUUUUGAAACAAUCAAACAUUGAACACAAAUCCUGUUGUUGAUUAGGGGUUGAAAUUAAAAUCUAUGCUGUGGUUGAUAUUCUAUUAAUGGGAAUGAGUGUUGUCAUUCCCAUGUGUCCAUUGUCACUCUCCUAUUCAAAUGAUUUUUAUGUGAAAUACUCUUCUCCUUUGGUGAUGGAACUAAUAGUUUAAAGAUUUUAUAUAAAAAAUUUAGAGUGGCAAUGGCAAUAGACAUUUCCUCUGUUUUGCCAGGCUUAUUUUUUUUUUAUAUAGGUAGGAGGGAGGAGAACGAAAUGACUGACGUAGAGAAAAUUGUGCAAUGCACGUACUAAUUUGCUGGCUCUGCGCGUACAUGUUUGGGGCAUGUGCCUAUUUUUAUAUUUUCAUUUUUUUAAUACGAAUACUCUCCAUUUCUGACUUUUAAAUGUUUUUCUUUGCCUCAUUUAUACUUUGCUUUAGUUACCACUUAAAAUCAGACGGGAUGUCUAAUUAUGGGCAAUUUUGCACUGUUAAUCCCAUUUAUGCUAGUUGUCAAGUAUUUAUUAGUUAGUAUUACACCAAUUGCCAACCAUCAAUUUUAAGGAUUUUGGUUUUUAUGAUGGUCUUAUUUAAGCUUUUUAGCAUUUUACCGUUGAUCUAUAAUUAUAUUUUCUUCUGCAGAAACGAUAUGAAGACAUUCCUGUGCUAGGGCAAAGGCCGUCAGAAUAGUGACCAGCUUGUUAGCCAUUUUGAAGUUUUAUUAUUUUCAUAAAGAUUUGAAGUGAUUAAGAGCUGGAAGCAGUUUCCAUUUUUACAAUAAAUACCAUAUGCUUGUGCGUGGUUUCAUUGACUGGCCAUUGGAAAUAUUAAACAUUGAACCAUUGCAGAAUUCUGUAUUUUUUUUGAAACGAUUUAUCCAGAAUCAUUGGUUAUGCAAGUCGCAGACUUUCUAGUUUGCCUAUGGAUGUUUAAACAGGGAAAAUCAGUAAUGCUCAUUAAUUUCAUUUAGCAUUCAACUAAUGAGUGAGUAAACUGUUGCCGCUAUCCACGGAGUUUAUUCUGACCAAUUGAUGCAAGUAAUGUAAAAAGAAGAAAAAAAAUGAUAAGCUUUUUUCUUUGGAAAGGCAACCAUUUUUUUUUUUUUUUGCAGUAAAUUAAAAGGCCAACAUGAGCAUAAGGAAUGCUGGUACUUGGCAACGAAAAAUGAGAAAAAUGUGAAUAUGAUAAAAUAUUUCUGGUCAAAGAUUCAAUAUUUUUCUUUUGUGUAAAUGUAUAAAAGGUGAAAACAUAUUCAUAUCAUGUAGUAUUCAGUUGUAGUUUUUCUAUAAUGUAAAAAAAUCGUGUAGUACCUUUGGCGUGGCAUCAUUAGACAAUUAGACCACAUAAAAUGAAAAUGAAGCAUGGAGGACAAUGUUAUGCCAAUCCAUUAGCCAUAUUACCAUUUAACCUAACAUUAUUAUAUUGACAGACAAAAAUAGGUUUAUUUUUCAAAGUGGGAGACGAAAAUAUUAUUUUUUUAAAUUUAAUUCUUAUAUAUUUAACUUUAUUUAUUUUUAAACUUCGCCAAAUUUUUAGAGGCUUUAAAACAUAUUUAACUUAUUAAUUUAUUUUAAUUCUUACAUUUCAAUAGGUUACACUUUCAGUCUCCACUCUUUCAUUUGAUUUUGUUUAAAGUGAGCUAUAUUCUCCCUUUAUGCAAAUAUCCUAGUUCUAAAAAAUUUCUUCAUUUCUUAUCUCUUGAUUUAAAUUCAUUCAUCUCUUUCUUGUUUCCUCUGACUCUUUUCCCAUUUAAACAAACUUGCUCCUCUCAUAUUUGUUUAUUUAUCUCUUUUAACUUGAAUAUUGAUUUAAAUUAUUUUAUCUCUUCUCUAACUUUUAUAAACAAAUUUAUUAAUUUUUAUUGAAUUCAUUUGAAUAUACUAUUUAUCAUAUGAUAUGAAUAUUUUUUCACUUUUAUUAAUAAAUAAUUAUAAUUAUAAAAUUUACAUAUUAAAUUUAAAUUUGUAAUUAUUAUUUGAAUAUGUUUUUAUAUUUUUCAAACAAUUUUAUACUAGUAAGACAUUCCAAAGUGCUUAUUUAAAAUAAUACAUUUAUAAGAACGUAUUAAUGGUGCAAAUUGGAAAUACAAUUCUAUUUAAAAUUCUAUGGAGAUGUUUAGGGUUUUUUUAUGAACCCCGUUGCUCAGUAACUGUACCUGGGUUGGCGGCUAAGGUAGGUUCGCUUUGGCACUCUUAUUAGUGAUUAGUGUACGCCAUUCGCCAUUUUGUUCUAAUCGUAGCUUCUGUUUUCAGAAUAAUCUGAGACAACCAACCUCAGCCUCUUACCAUGAGGUGCUUCAAUUUUACCCUUAUCAUUUACGAUUCUGAAGUUUUCUUGACAAAGUUAAUAUUUAUUAGUGUUUGGGUGUGUGUGUGUUUUUUUUCUUCAUUCAAUACUAUCUAAGGGCUUUGCAAUUGGUUUAAGCUGACAAAGCGGCCAGACCUUUUUCUUUAACGAAAAGGAUGCCAUGAAACAUAAAAAGACAACACAUGGUUGUGGAAUUAUGUAAGACAACACAUGGAUCACGGCUGGUUGUGAUUACAAAGGAAUCAGUAUGCUCAAUAACGAAAAGAAAGUUCCUGGGUGACGCUCCUUAAUUGGAAAUUUCUAUGGGUUACAUUUUAAGAGAUACAUCAAACUUCAAGUUAUUAAGUGUUAACAAAUUACGAAACCAACAUGUAGCCUUGGUUUAAGGUGUAGUACUACAGUUACUCAUUUUCUAGGCUCAUCCUCUACUGGCGGCACUUUGUUUGCGCAGUCAGAAGAGGUGUGCCCUAAAACCUGACCGGUGUUUGGGAGAGUGCCGUCCCUAGCAGAAGCUCAGUCAGGAGUGCCACUGAAACAUCCACAUAACAAGAUGCAACAUGUCACUCUGUAAUUUAGCAAAAAUAUUAAAGCACUAUAAAAUCCUCUUAAUAUUUUUAAUUUUUAAAUGAAAAGACUUAAAAGAGUAUCUAAAGACAUUGCUUGGAUGAUCACAAAAUGAAUCACCUCUAUUUAGAAUAUUUGGAGCAGGUUCAGCCUAGAAAAUUAUAUGAAAACUUCGAAUUUAUUUCUAAUUUUUUUAAUUUCUAGAAUUUUAAAAGAUUUAACAGGGAUAUUGACAUCUGAUUACAAUCUGAACCAGAAUAAGGCUGUGAGGAUUUCUCAAAUUAAAAUCAACAAUAAUCAUUAGCAUAAAUAACUUUUGGAAGAUGACAGCGACUAACUCUCAUAAAGGCUUAAGUUGUUAGAUAAAAGUUCAUGAAGAUAGAUAUCAGCCUGAUGAGGAAAGGAGCUGGAAGGUGUAUACGUGAAGAAAGAAGGGAAAUGGUCAAAUGAUGACAUUCAGGGCAAUAAGAAAGAAGCUGCUGAGUUGGCAAAAAAGUAGGGCAGUUAGGAUAUUUGUACAGAAGGGAUUAUCGUGAAUCUGGUAAGAAGGAGCUAAGUAGCUCAGUUGAGAAGGAGGAAAACUGUACUUGUUUAUCUGAUUCCUUUUUUCAAUUUCUGUUUUAUUUUACCUGUAGCACAUGAACCGGUUUUAUAUUCAACAAGGGUUCAAGAAUGGGAGCAACAAAGAUCAAACUCUUGGUUACUUGAUCAUAGAGGUUUUGAUACCAUGUCAAGGACCAACUUCCCUAGGUAAAGGCUUAAAAUGGUUUUAUAUAAAAUAGAUGUUCUCGACUUUUUCAGGGAUGAACAAGAUAACAGGAUGUGAAUUGUUAUGAUAGUUCAUAAAAUAUUUUCCAAGGAGAAAACAAAGAAGAAAAAUUAAGUUCACUGUAUAAAUGCAAAUCACAGACCUGUACUAAGGUGAUAAAGGUUCCGAAUAUUAAAAAUAGGAAAAUAAGAGAACAAUGGAAACAAGCAAAGAAAACAACCAAAUCGCAAUCUGCUUCCCUCUAUCCCAUACCAUCAGGUCAUAUACCUUUUACAACAGAAUUCUCUAACCCUUCUGGCCUUGUCUCCACACGCACACACACUUUUAUUUAUGUUUUUCUCUUAUGUACACUUUGGUCAUCAUAGUUAGAAGUCUUAUCAAAACAUUCUAAGAAACCUUAUUUCCUAUUUACUACCAUGCUAAAAUUAUGAUGAAGUUCUGUAUUGUAAUACCUGUGGAGGAAAGAAUGCGAAGAUAGUUCCUCAACAUAGUCAACAGUCGCGCCUUUCACAAAAUCAUAUGAAAUAUUGUCAACAACCAACUUAAUUCCAUCCCUCUCAAAAACCCUGCCAAAACACAUUAAGAAAAGCAAGUUAAUGUAAUUCGUAAAGGAGAAGGCUUUAGCAUGUUGAAGCCCAACAAAACACAAGUGAAACCCAAAUCAUAUUAUAUGUGAAAUUUGGCCGCUAAAUGGUAAUUUUGUCAUCUAAAUUAAAAGCAUACUGAAAUCCAGCACAUCCACCAGUUUCUACGCUUAAAGGAAGCAUUUUUCUGUCUGCUGAUGAUUCACUGGCUUCUAGUUCCUUCAUUUUCCGUUCCAUCAAUUAAAUCAAAUGCAAAUUUUAUUAUUAUUAUUUUUGAAUUAAUGAGAAAAGGUGCGAAGAAUGUGAAACCAAAACAAAAUCACAAACGGAAGUUAACAUACUCGAACGCAGUUUUUAGUCAUGUGAAGGGGCUCCAAGUCAGGAUCAGAAUCAGAAGAAGAAGUGGCAAUGGUGAACAACAGAAGAAGAAGAGAAUGAAGAAGCCUCAAUCGCGCCGCGCCGUCGCCAAUGGCGGCGCCAGGCGUCGAAUUAGCGACCUCUGUAUCUCUCUCUAAACAACCAACCAUUCAUUAUGUUUUGCCUCCUUUCGUUUUUUCUUAAAGACGCACGGUCUAGAUUCUGCCACGUCAUAAAAUCAAGAUCAACGGUUCACAAUUUACCAACCGCUCCAAAAUCAAAAUAAAACUGAGGAGUGAAUUGAAAGUAGAGAGACUGUUCGAAUGUUGGAAUCAAAGCGUAAGAACGUGAAAAAUGAAAAAUCUCUGCAUUAGUGAAUCUCCUUUUGAUUACAAUUUCUUUCAGUUUUCAUUUUCUGAUUGUGUUUUCAAUCACUUCUUGUAGAGGAGAGAAGAUGGAAAACAGUGAGGAACAAAAGUACAGAGUCCGGAGAUUAGAGAUCUCAGACAAGGGAAAAGGCUUCAUCGAGUUACUGCAGCAACUCAGCGUAUGCGAUUCCGUCUCCGACAAGGAAUUCGAGGAUCGAUUCCGAGACCUCAGUGUUCUCGGCGACGAGCACGUGAUCGGCGUGAUCGAAGACGAGGCUUCCGGAAAGAUCAUUGCGACGGGGAGCGUGUUUAUCGAGAAGAAGUUUUUGAGGAAUUGCGGCAAAGUUGGGCACAUUGAGGAUGUUGUUGUGGAUUCUAGCAUACGCGGGAAGCAUUUGGGGAAGAGAAUGAUCGAGUUCCUAACGGAGCAUGCGCGGGAUAUGGGAUGCUACAAGGUCAUUCUUGAUUGCAGCGUCGAGAACAAGGCGUUCUACGAGAAAUGUGGCUUCCAGCAGAAAUCUGUUCAGAUGGCUAUGUAUUUUGCUUGAACAUUAGUAUUUUUUUCUUUACUUCCUUUCCUUUUGCUUAUGAAUAUUUACCUAACGCCAUUGAUGAUCUAUCUAUGAGUACAUUCCUUGUCCUUUCAUUUUCCAGCUUUUAGCAUGUGUUUUCACUUUUGAGUUCUUGUUGGAUUAAAUUUUUUAACUGCUUACUAUAAAAGAAGUAGUAGUAAAAAAAAACUAUAUUUACUUCCAAAUAUGAUAGUCCAUGAAAGCUCAUUGAUUCAGGUGAUACAUCAUACAUGUUUGAUUUUGUGUAUGAAAAGAAAAAAAAUUCACUGAAAGUUGUUUCUACUGUAGCUUCUAGGUUGCAAGAGAAAUGUUGGCGAUGUAUAUUUCAAUAUUUGUUAACGUUUAUUUAAUAUUAUAAAAUAUAAAACUUCAUUUCUUAUUUAAUGCUAUAUUUUUACUUAUAAUUUUUAAUAAAUAGUAAUAAGCGUAUUAAAAAAACUGUUAAAAUAUAUUACUAGUUUUUCUCAUGACAGAAAUAUUUGUGACUCGAUCUCAUGUAAAUGGGGUCUAGACCAAAAAUUGGCUGUCAAAAAAAUAGAUUACACUACCUAUAUCUAAAGAUCUUUUUGUUUAAUAUAAUCAAAUUUAAGCGUGUGUGGUUAGAAAUUCAUACUAUUAUAUGGUUAUCAUCUACAAUCGUUCAUAUAUAGAUGCAAAGAUAAAACGAAAUCACAUUCGUGCUCAAAGUCCAUCAAUAUAUCCAGCAGAAACAGAUAGCGAUUGAAAUUUAUCAGCGAAAAACAAUUGAUGCACAAUGCUAAUCCACUUCUUGCUCAGAGUGCUGAAGAAACUUUUCAAAGCCGUAAGUCACAUUCUCAAUCAUCAUAACUUGAUUUUUGUUUCCCGUUCCUUUAAAUACAAGCAAAUAAAUAGUGCUUGCAGCACAAGCUAACUAAAAUUUUCAGUAAAACAAACUAGUACAUAUUUUGGUAAAUCUUUUUGCCUAUAACAAUGAAUCAUUUGUAAAUCCCUGAUAAAACUACACAUUACAAACUGAAGCUACUGCAUCUUAACAAACAAACUUUCUAUUAGCAGAAAUCCCAUCGAGGAGAUUGCAGAAUCCAGCUCCAUUUUCACCUGGGCCAUAUCUAAUGCAUCCAAAGAGGGUAGCAUGGAGACUGCAUCGAUGGAAACAAAGAAAUGAGCUUAAGCAGCUGCUUUUACAGGAUUUGUCUCCUCUAAAAAAAAAUGUGUACUUUAAAAAAUAAAGUACGAAGUUAUAACUCACAACCAUUGAUUGAAAAAUUAACAGAAUAAUACAAACAACUUUGUUGGUUAUAUACUUUAUAUAUGUUCUUGUAUCCCAUCAUAAUUUCAAAUGAUAAUUUUUCAAUCAACAAUUAUAACUCGACAAUUUAUCUUCUAAAAGUGUGUUCUUCACUCUAGAAGAGUCAAAUCUGACAUCCCAAUACCAUUACAAAUCAAACAAGGAAGUGACAUAACACAACACAAUUCAAACUAUACAUAUUGACAAUUUUAAAGCAAGGCCAGAAACUAAAGAGAAUCUAAGGCAUAAAAGAGGGAACAGAAAGGUCAAACCUAAGAAAUUAUGGACUAUCAAUCAAACCAAAACAGCAACAUAAGAUUCAAUUGCAAGAUGCCGAAGAAUCCAGAUUGCAUUAAAACAAGUUUGUUUGUAGAAAACUUACUCUCAUAAAAACCAUGCAAAUAGGUAAGGAGAUACUUGUAGAAACAAGUUUGUCUUAAUUAUAACAGAGUAUCAAAUUAUUUCUGAAUGUUUCUCUUGCAAAUACAUUGUCAUGGUAUUUAGUCAUACAUCCUGCUGUGUAAUUUUUGGGAUGCUAUGUUUCUGGUAAUAAAGAUAAAAUGGUAAAGCCAAACUGUGACAUAAAAUUAGCUGAACCUACAGGGAUACUUCAUGGCAUGGUUUCACUAAUAAAAUACUGUCAUCAUGCAAACUGUCUAUACUUUCUCUUUUCCUUCCCUGAACAUGACCCAAUGCCUUUUUCUGGUACCUCAACUACAUCUCAAUAUUUAUUGAAAAAUAAAUAAAAAUACAACACUUUGAUUUGUCAAAACACAUGAAAAUGUGCCAAGAAGAUCUACAAACAAGAAGGUUGAAAUUAAGCAAUUUCUUUAGUAUUAGCCCAGAAACAAAUAAAGCUGUUUAUUUCACGAGGACCAGAAACAAAUAACAAUAUAUAUGACUUAUCUAAGGGGGGGAAAAGCAACUGAGAAUUUUCAAAUACUUUAUGAAACAAUGCCUCCAAAAUUUCAGAGUACAGUGGGCACUAAAUUGGCCAUACAAGAGCAAAAUUAUAACACAAUGAUAUGCAUACCUUCAGGCUCAAAAAAGGCACUUCAAUUAUCCAAAUACUCAACAACAUUGCUGUCUAGCUUGGUUUGACACUUCAACUCAACAUUCCUUUGUAAAACAUCAGGUAGACCAUAGCUCCAAUGGCAUCUGUCCUGGUGUUAAUCAAGGGACAGUAGCAUAGUACCAAUGAGGCAAUGACAUAUGAGACAAGGAUUUUCAUUGUCUCAAUCCCCCACAUCUCCAUUUUCAAUUCUCUUAUCAGUUCAGUUCUCAAUCAUUCCCCUAUCACCUUGGCCCCAUCAAAUUGAAACCAAGUUAAAUCUUAAAUGCUUGCAUAUUCAUUGAUCAAAUUUGCUUACUUGACGGCGUGUAGGGCGUCGGCAAUUCGACAAUCCACUCAUCAAUUGAUUAUAUGAAGCAAGAUCAGGUAUAAACCCCAUAUCCAACAUCUCAUCCACCAGCAACUCUCCUUGCUCUCUCCCUCCCUCCCCUAUAUACCCCAUGACCAAAAUCCUAUACGUCAUCUCAUCUGGUUCAAAACCCUUGCUUGAAGCAAGCAACCUCAAUCUAUUCGCCUCAUUCGUUCUCCGCUUAUCACAAAUAUCCCGAAGAACACAGUUGAAAGUCACAACAUCCAGCACCAAACCCUCUUCAAGCAUCCUUUCCACCAAUCUCCUCGCCUCGUCAAUCUUCCCCAACCCUCUCAACCCAUCAACCAUGACAAUACAAGCAACCAAACUCGGAACACUACCCCCAUUCCACAGCUCAUAAACAACCUCCAACGCUCUCAUAGCAUACCCUUCCCCACACAAAACCUCCAGCAACGCAAAACAAUCAAACCCUUCGGGCAAAACCUUCUUCUCACAAAACUCCAGCAACAACUCACACGCCUGCAAAACCCUCCCUUCCUUGCAAAGCCCCUGAACCAAAAUCUCACAACUAACACUCGAAAAUCGAAUCCCUAAUUGAACCAUCUCACGAGCCAUCCCAAUGGCUUCCUCAACGUUCCCUUCCCUAAACAAACCCUUAAUCAACGUAUUAAAAGUAACCACAUUGGGUAAACAUCCCAUUUUCCCCAUCUCGUGAAACAUCUCCAACGCCAAGUUAAACUGCGAGUUUCUACAAUAACCACUAAUCAAAAUGUUAAAGGUGAAAACAUCGGGCUUAACCCUGUGUUUUAGCACCAUCUCGCGGUAAAACUGGAGAGCGGCGUUGAGGGAGCCGCGUUUAACGAAGGCGUGGAUGAGGAGGUUACAGACGGCGACGUUGGGCUUGCCGUCGAUUAGUUUGCACAUGGAGUGGAAAGCGGAAACGGCGUCGUUGAGGAGAUUGGAUUUGGAGAAGGCGUGGAUGGAGAGGGAGAAGAUGGGUUGGGUUUGGGGGCAGGAGAAGAUGGAGGGGGAGCAGGGGCAGGGGUUGGAGGAGAUGAGGUGGAGGAGGGUGCGGAGUUGGGGGAGGCGGUGGGUGGAGGCGAGGGAGCGGGCCAUCCAGUGGAAGGUGAGGUGGGUGUGGCGGAAAGAGUCGAGGGAGGAGGAGGCCCAUGUGAAGAGGUGGAAGUCGAAGUGGGAGAAGGAAGGGUGGUGAUGGAGCUUGGAUUUCAAAAAGUGGAGGAGGGUGUCCGGGGUGAAAGGUGGGGCCCAGUGGGAUUUCAGGAAGUCCAGGAAGCGGGCGUAGUGGACGGGGGAGACGGCUGUGUCUCGUGGUGCUGGUGGGGAGGGGAGAGGACAACAAGGGCCUUUCACUUUCACCAACGCCAACUUCUUCAUCGCCAUUUUCAGCUUCUCACUUUAACCACCAUGGUUUUGCACUCUUGUAACACCCCUCUAAAGGACCCCUUUAAUUAAUAGAUACAACUGACCUUAUCAAUCGGACUGCGGAGACCUUAUCAAUAAGAAUCCCUUAGUCCCAAUUUACAACACAAUUACAUUUGUCUUAAUUAAAUGUUUCUAAACUAGGACUUAUAAACUUUAGGUAAGAAUUAUUUAUCGGCAAGGGUGCGUAUAUCAGUUAAGCCUAUGGAUUGGGGUAGAUAACAGACUCUUUUUUCUUUCUUUGUAGUUUGUAUAAUUAUAUUGAAUUUUUAAGUUUGAUUUGUUAAGUCCAUAGAUCUAACAGAUUUUAUUCAUGAAAUUCUAGAUUAUCUAAGUAUUUACCAACCCAAAAUGCUUACAAUAGCUGUUGAAGUCAUGAUUAAAUAUAUUUGUUUUUUAUUUAUAAGAUACAUUAGAAUAAUUAUUACAAGGAGAUUAUAAUAUGAUUGUUUUUAUAGAGAAAUUUGGGUAGAAAAACAUAUUUUAUUGCAAUUAUUUAAAUAAUUAAUAUUUUCAUAGGAGGAGAUAAUGACAAAAUCAUGUAGUUGCGGUUCGAGGUAAAGUAUCUGAAAACAGUGUAGACGUAUAGAUAGUUUUUGUGCUGGGAAAAAUCAUAACGACAAGUGGACCAAAGUCGCAAAGAGCAACCGAAAUUCAAAACGCAGAAGAAGUAGAAGAAACUCGCGUCGUGUGGUGAAUCAAAUUCAAUCCGCAGAAGAAAACAUGUUACUCUUUGCAACACUUCUUCUCUUUUCUCUGCAAUCGAGUAUCUUAACACCGAUUCCAGUAAAACCCACUAAACUCUCUUCGAAUCUCUCCGUCACCAACUCCGCCUCUUACGGCGAGAGAAUCAGCAGUAGCACGCGCCGGAGAACCAUUUCACCCUUCGAAUCCCGAAUCUCACUCAUUUUCGCCCUCGCUCCUCAAGCCAACACUCUCUCCCAGCGACGUAAAUGUUUUCCUACACCGAAUUUUAACUCUUCGUGAUUUUCUCUCAUUCUCUUCACUAUGAAAUUUUCCUAAUUAAUUUUUGUGCCGUAGUUCUAGCGGACGUGGCUGCCGAGACUGCGAAAUACGUGUUUCCGAAGAGAUUUGAAAACCGCAAUCUCGAGGAGGCGUUGAUGAGUGGUUAUUACUACUAAUUAGUUAAUUUUCAUCCUCUAAUAUAUAUAUAUUUCUGUUAAUUUGUUCCUUUUUAUUGCGUAAUUAAUCGUUUCUGUGUUGGAGCUUCGUUGCAGUUCCGAACCUUGAGACUGUCGAGUUCAAAGUUCUGAGUAGAAGGGACCAGUAUGAGAUUAGGGAAGUCGAGGUUUGUGUGUUUGCUUAGCUCCCUUUCUUUGAUGUAAAUUUAUAUUUCAAUUCAUUGUUUUUUGAAGAAUAGAGUCAUUUCUUCUUGUUCUCCAAAUGUGCAAGUAAGCAUAGGUGCUUUCUUCAUAUAAAUUACGGUUCUGCUAACCAUUAACCUCUAAGGUCAAUGAUUCAGGAAUCGAUAAAUACAGAGUUUUAUUAGAAUGUAGUAUAAUAUUUAAUGUUACGAAUGCAUUCUUGUUGGGACUUCCUAUAACAGAGUUCUAUUUAGUAUUUUUUUAACCUUUGUCUUUAGGGCAAGGAUUAGCCAAACUUUUUAAAUUUAUUGCAUAUAGGGAUGGAAUGGAACCUAUUGCGCGAUGUAUUAUGCUUCUGGCAUUUAAGGGACUCGGUUUACAUAAUAUUCUUAGGCUUUAGAGUUGAUAUGCUGUUACAGAAUCCUUACAUAUGAAAUACAUACAAGUGCUUUGUCGUCACUGACAAACCAUCUGGUCUUGGGAAUGUCUCCCCUUGAUCUGAUGAUUAUCUUUGCAGCCUUACUUUGUGGCAGAGACAACAAUGCCUGGAAAGAGUGGGUUUGAUUUCAAUGGUGCUUCUCGGUCCUUCAAUGUUCUGGCUGAGUACCAUUUUGGUAAGGUAGUUAUAUAUUUUAGAAUUGAACCACAUUCAUGCAUUUUAAAAUUUUACUGGGUUGCCUUUGAUCACUGUCCCUUUUUGUUUUCCCCUUCUAUUUUAAGAGAAGAGAAAAGUUAUAGAUGUGUGUUGUUGUUCUGCUGGUAGAAUACAACUAAGGAGAAAAUGGAGAUGAAUACACCUGUUUUCACAAGUAAGAAUCAAUCUGAUGGGGUUAAAAUGGAUAUGACAACUCCUGUGUUAACAACAAAGGUAUUAUGAUUAUUUUUUCAUGGAUUUUUUGAAAUGUCUCAUUUACAAUCUUUAUCUUAUUUAUUUUUAUAUGCAUUGCCUGCAAGUUUAGUGUAAUUAUAUUUUUUUUAUUUAAUAUGAAUUCGUUUCAGCAAACAUAACUGUAGAAACAUGCCUUUUCAUAUCAAGGCAACACUUAAACAGCCAAAGCUAAAAUGCCUGUAGGCACAACAAUUUGAUAAAACUAUUGUCAACAAUGGCAGUGAAAUAAUUGCACCUAACUUAUUUUCAUACUAUGAAUUUUUGACCUACUAUAAUUCACAAUUUAAAAACCAUCCUUCUGGAAUUCAGACUCAAUUGAAAUAAAGCUCUCCUAAUUAUUCAGCAAUGGCUAGAUUACCCUGGCAUAUUUUGUCGGGCCCAUUUUCUGUCACGCUAUCUAAAUAAAUAGUUAACACCUGAAAAUUCUUUUGAAUUCAUACGUUCUUUAACAUAUGGGCUAAUUAAUAUGUAAAUUGUAAAGUUUAAGCUCUGUCUGAGAUUGGAUAAAUUGAUACCAUUCUUCGCCUUAUAAAUCACCUAUAUCUAUCCCAAUUAGAUGACAUGAUAACUCUAUUAUUUUCCCUUUUAGGUCAUGGGUUCAUUUUUCAUUGUCUUUUUCCUUUUGUUUUCAAUUUUAUGAUAUACUCAGUGUACUAGUGUCACUUUGCACUUAACUGUGUGGAUUUUGUGAUGGUAUUUUCUGGAAGUUCUAUAUUUAAUAAUUAAUACAUUUAUUUGAUUAGGAGCUAUUUUUCAUAAUUUAUGAUGUUCUAAUUUAUCAAUGAUAUUAUCUUAGAUGGAAGAUCAAGAUAAUUGGAAAAUGUCUUUUGUCAUGCCAUCAAAGUAUGGAGCUAACUUGCCACUGGCUAAAGAUUCCUCUGUGAGGAUUAAAGAGGUGCCCAGAAAAAUAAUUGAUGUAGUUUCCUUUUCAGGUGCGCUAUUGCCUUGAUACUUUUUACAAAUAACUUGUAUACAAAUGUAAUUUAAUUUCAUUUUUUGCCGGUUGUCUGCUAUUUGGGUUUUAUUUGCAGAAAGCCAUUACUUCUGUAAAUAAUUAAUUACUGGAGGAAGCACCAAUAAUACACAGUUGAUUUAUUUCAAAAUUUAUUAUCGCACAUAUAUUUUUAUGUUUUUACGCAUGUAUGUUCAUCUGGAUGUGUUCCAUUUUUUUUGUAUUUUGUGUGCAAGGAUGUGUUGCAUUUUUAUUUUAACUGAAUAUUGGUGUGCCUGAGUAUGAAUCUUGGUUGGUUAACCAUAAAGUUAAAGAGUAAAUUAGACUGCUCUAUCUGUAUUGCAGCAUAAAUGGAUAAGAUAAAAGUUUUAUUCAAAUUUAACUUAAAGUCCUCAAUCAAAUAAAUAUUUUACUUUGCUUUGUGAAUCAGGUUUUUGUGAAUGAUGAAGAAAUUAAGCAGCGCGAAUUGAAACUACAAGAUGCUUUAAAAAGUGACAGUCAGUUUAAAAUUAAAGAGGGAACUUCAGUUGAAGUUGCACGGGUUAGAAUCUUAAUGCAAUCUUGGGGUUAAAGGAAGGUAUACCCGUUCCUUUUCUUCAAAUGUCACUCUUUUAUUUUCUUGCAGUAUAAUCCACCAUUUACUCUUCCAUUUCAAUGCCGUAAUGAAAUUGCAUUGGAGGUGGAAUGGAAAAAUAAAUAGGAAAAAUAUCAUUACUUGGAUUGCAAUACAAGAUCUUUUACUCAAUAUUGAUGCAUAUCUUUUAAUAUAUAUAUAUAUAUAUAUAGUUCCUGCUAUUCAUAAGUAAGUUUAGUAGUUAUGGUAAGAUAUCCUUUUAUUAGUGAUUAGCCUCUUUUCUAGAUUCUCCCUUCUCUUAUAACCAUAGACAAACCUAUUUCUACUAUUUGGAGCUGAGUCAAAAAGUAAUGUAAAUUAACGUUCGUAGUGAUUAAGUCACGAUAUUUCUUUUUAUGUUUUUUAUUCAUAUUAUGUCUUUGACAUGCUUUUGAGUACAUUUUUAAGGAUGGUUCCCAUUAUAUAUCAUAGGAGGUGUGCAAAUGGUAACAGUGAACUUUGAAUCAAAAGAGUGAAAGAUUACAUUCAGAGCAAUGAGCUUCAAGAAGUGCAAAAAUUUGUGUAAGCCUGAUCUGCACGUUUGAAAAGUGUCAUUGCUACUGAAAAGACCACAAGCUCAAAGAGGAUGUAAGGUAGGUGAAUCUAUACGCUGCAAAUCUACAUUACUCCUUCAAAGAUCUACUUUUCUGAUACUUUUGAUUCAAAGACGUAAGAUGUUGGAUUGUCAGAGCUACGGUGUUGGAUUUACNNNNNNNNNNNNNNNNNNNNNNNNNNNNNNNNNNNNNNNNNNNNNNNNNNNNNNNNNNNNNNNNNNNNNNNNNNNNNNNNNNNNNNNNNNNNNNNNNNNNAGGCUGUAGAUGCCUAUGUUCAUCGAAUGGAUGUAAAAUCCCAGUUUGAUAGACGUAACUUCCACAGUAAAUGUGUUACAUAAUACAGAAAUUACAUAUGAAUUUUUUCAGAGAAGUUACUUAUGAAUAGCAGGAACUAGAAGACCUGUGUCACUAGUAAGAUUUCCUCAUCUUACUUUUUCAGUUAUAUAUGCAUGCACUUUUUGCUUUUAUAUUUUCUUGCUAUACUUCUCUGGUGGUGUUGAGAUGGGGGAAGUUGUUUGAUGGUUUGGCACCUGUGCUUUUCUCCCUUUUGUCGUUACUUUGCUUCUGAACUUGUGUCAAAUGGA